UAUACAGCUACUUGUCUUGUGUAUUGACUGACUAAUUGUAGUUAGCAUGGCACGUCAGGCAGACCGUCUUGCUAAGAUUGGGCUGGAGGGCUUUGCAGCCAUAGAUGAGGCCAAGAGGCGGCCACCAGUUAUGAAGGUUCCCUAUGCUCAUCCCACAUAUUACUAUGCAAACCAAAUUCCUGCAACAGCAGUUAUCGACAGCAACGAGGCAGCUCGACGCUACAAGGGGAGGGUUUAUAUCGAUUAUCCAAAGGGGAAACCAGUUCCAUUUUAAAGACCCAGUGAUUAAUCACUUUGCUUUCUUGUAUGCAUAAUCUCCUCCACUUGUGUUACCUUUAGUCCUGUACGAUAUUCUCCCUCUGCUAAACGUAGACGAGGAGCUUCUCUUACUUCUUCAAAUAAAAUUUCUGUGAUUUAUAUAUCAUAAUUUUCUAUUUGGCUGGUCAAGUAUGUAUUGUCAUAAUUAUCUUUCUGACUUCCUAAUUAUCACCUGAUUCACCUCUUACUUAGCAUGGAAUUGAAAGAUACACAAGUAAUUUUCUGUUGAAAUGCUUUGAAGCUCUUCAAGCUGUGAUUUCACCGACUUAUUUCGGAACUGUACAGAGCUCAAUGAUGAGCCGUGGGAAGCGUCUCUGAUUAUUGCACUGUAAGCACGAGUGUACGUAUGAAUAUAAACAGCAGAUCUGCUCCGUUAUUGCCAUAUGCUUAAAUAGAUCGCAGGAUCCGCAAACCACAGGUGAUGACAAGCUUCUUAAUAACUAUUAGAAAAUAAUAUAAAUCAUAUCUUGGACCCUCAUCUAACAACUUAAAUUUUUGGGUUGAGAUGGUUUUUUGAUAUGGUAUCAAAGCCUUGAUAACCAAGUAGUCAUAAGUUCAAAUCUCAUCAUUCUUAUUUAUUUAAUAAAAAUUAAGCACAGGGUAAAGUGGGUCUGUGCAAGUUUCAAACCUAAAAGGCUUUCACUCGAGGAGAUGUGUUAAAGAAUAAUAUAAAUCAUAUCUUAAGACCUCACCUAAUAAAUUAAAUUUUUGAAUUAAGAUGGUUCUUUACAAUAACUUCUAUUCUGACUUCAAUAGUGGAUUUAAGGAUAGAAAACCUGUAGGUUUGUGGUCAAGGAGGUUGGCUCUCUUCCUUAUAUUUUUUAUUUCAAACUUUAAUAACAAUACUCAUAUAAAUUUAUUUUUUCUGAAUGAAACUUGUUAAUACAAGAGUGUUAUUUUGAUGAAAAAGAAAAAUCUUAUUUUUAUCCCAUCACACCCCACCUAAGAAAUUAUGUAAUUAGUUAUUUCUAUAAGCUGUUCCAGAGAAUAUAGUCUUAAAUCAUUAUAUUUUACGACUCAUGAUUGUUUUUUUAAUAUAGCUGGGCUAAGAAAGAAAAAUAAACGGAGUUCUAUCUGCAUUUACAAUAGAAUUUUACAAUAGUGAACAAUAUAUCUAGGAAUAUCAGCGAUGAUGACCAUAGAUGGAUCAUGUGUGAAUUCUUAGCAAAUCAUUACUUGUAUAACCAAAAUUUCCUUCACAGCUCUUUUACUAAGCUGAUUGUCGAUGAAAAGUAAAGGAAAAGCAUGAUUCCCAAUCCGAGCUAUGUGAGCAAGUGUAUCUAGUAAAAAUAUCUCAUCUCCCAAGAAAACGAGAUUAGUAAGCCUCCCUUUAAAGCUUUGCUUUGCACACCUUUUCUUGAUCUUUCCCAAUCCUUCAUUAUAAAUGGGACCCAUCAAAAACAUGAGAUGUGCUUUAACCUCCUCCAUAUUUCAUCUUAGCCUAGAAGGAUAAACAAGAAUAUUAUUGCUUCUGAAACAUAACGAUUGCAAGCAUCGCCUUUCGGUGAACUUUUGAUGACAUGAAACUGCCACAAAUUGGGUCCUAUUCCGAGUGAGUUUUCUUUUUCUGCUCUGUUAUCGCAUAUAUACAACUGAAAUCUUUAAGUCCUCUUCAGGGUACCCCUGAAAGAAAAUGGUCUAUCAUGGAAAGUCCUGAGGAAUCUGAGGCAUAUAAUAUGAGAUAUAUAUCGUCCCAAGAUCAUAAAAAUGAUAAAUCUUAAUCUUAUCAGGUGUAGCCAUGAAAUGGGAUCAGAACCUAUUUUCCUAAUUUUAUUAACUAAAGGGAAAGCCACAACCAAGUCUCUGUACUAUAUGAUUGUCCAUUAAUACAGAAUCUAGCACAUCCUUGAGUAGCUAAAGAAAGCUAGAAUAAAGUACCUCUAGCAACAUCUUCACUGUUUAUUUUCUAAUAGUUUUGUUUUGUUAAAUCGCACUUGAAAAUACAGAACCUGUUCUUGAUAUUUCAUGGACAAUAUUUACUCUAGUUGUGCAAGUAACGUAUACACAAAUACCUGUAAUAUUGCAUCAAAAUUCAAACUAACAACAGUAUGUGUAUACUUGUGGAUAUGGAAUCAGCCAGAAGUGGAGAACCCCAUAAAUCUUGAAAACCUCUGUUGAUUGUGAUGGGUCCAAAAAGCAGAAAGCAAGUUACAAGCUGCCUGCUUUCUGCUAAUAUAUAUAAUGCUGCAUAUAUGACCUAUUUUGUACCAAGGCAAACCAUACAGUUUUAAUUGUUCUUUGAGUUAUAGUGUUAAUUUCACAUAUGGCACGUCAGGUAGAUCGUCUCACAAGGAUUGGAAUGGAAGGCUUUGCUCUGAUUGAGAAUAGUUAUGGCUGGCCUGGAAGGUCUGGAAGACUCCCCUCAACUCAGGUACAGCAAAAUCAUCAUCACUAUCAUCAUCAUCAUCAUCAUCGUCAAUACCAAGAUCAGCAAACAUUGGUUUAUCAGGGAACUCAAAUUACCACGGUGAGGAUGCCUGUGAUCAUUAGCAAUGAGGUAGUUCAAUACUAUGGUAACAUGGUGAAGAAGCCUGUUAUUCCUAGCAAUGAGGCAGCUCAAUAUCAAGGGGGUGUGGUGAAAGAGCCUGUUAUCACUAGCGAUGAGGCAGCUCAAUAGGAUGGUAGAAAGAAACGAUUUCGUUUAGAUUAUUAGGUUUCAUGAAUUUACUGAACAUGCUUAAUGUCAUGUAUGAGUAAUCUGAGUCACUUGGUUCUUAAAUCUCCUGGUUUCUUACUCAUAGAUAAAGCAACUUGGUCUGCUAAAGAACCUUGUAAAUUUUAUCUUUAGAGCUCCUGUUGUCACGCAGUUUUCUUAUCUAUAACGUAAUCAGCUUUACUGUAACUCUUUAUGUCUCUCUCUCUCUCUCUAUUUUUGUGUGUGGGUUGUGAUGAUCUUUCUUACUUCUGAUAAGCCAAAUGAUUCUCAAAGCACACCUUGGAAAACAACAGCUAAGGCAAGGCGAAAUGAAAGCUAAAGCUAGGAAUUAAAGAACAAAACAACAUAGAAUAUGAAGGAAAAAAUGAAUAAAAAAACGAAACAACAGAAUUAAAAAAAUAAAAAAUUAAAACAAAAGGAAAUUAGCCAAAAACAAUUGGAAGAAAAUUACUAUGGUAGGAGUUUAUGUUAAAAGAAAGAUAGGUGUUGUAUAAUAUCAAAAAUAGUAAUGCAAAGUCAAAACUCAAUAAGAAGAAGAAGAUUGAGAGAAACGUAUACUUUUAUUAAGUGUUUCUCUCUAAACUCUUUUAGUUAUUCUCUCUGCUUUUAUUCUUUUUAAAAAUGCUAAAUUACAAGUCUUUUAUAGGUAUAAAGUCCUAGAUAAUCAAGGAAUUAAACUAAUACAAGGAAAUUCUAAUAUGAACAAAAAUUGUAUUCUGCCUACUAGCUAAAUCAGUCGACUAGUUCCCAACCAGUGGAUCGGUUCCUCUAUUCUUCAUAAAAACAAGAAAUCGAGUUCAAUUUUCAAAACCCCUUUCUAAACUUGAUUUCUUCAUAACUCGCACAAAUCUCUUAUUUUGGUAAAAACAUCAUAUUCAACUGGUUUUGUGAAAAUAUCUGCAACUUGCUCUUGUGUCUUUACAUACUUGGCUUCAACUUCUUUGUUUGUAAUGCAAUCUCUUAGGUAAUGAAAUCUUGUGUCAAUGUACUUAUUUCUGUCAUGAAAAACUUGAGUUUUAGCUAAGGCAAUAGCUAAUGAGUUGUCCACAUAAAUCUAUGUAGACUUCUCUUAUGGGAUCCGUAAUACUUUCAGUAAUCUUAUUAGCUAUAUGGAAUGACAAACACAUGAUGUAGUAGUUAUAUAUUUAGUUUCACAUGUUGAUAAAGUGACUAUAGAUUGCUUUUUUAAACACCAUGUGAAUGUUGUGUCUUCCAUGUAGAAAACAAAACCAAUAGUGCUCUUUUUAUCAUCCAUAUCUCUAGCUCAAUCACUAUCAUUGCAACCCACAAUAUCAAAGCUAUUAGAAUAUCCAUAAAACAAGCCAAAAUCAACAGUACCUUUGAUAUACCGAAGAACUCACUUCAAAGCUUUGAAGUGUGUCAUAGUUGGUGUAUCCAUAGACCUACUCCCAAGUUCUACUCCAAAAAGAACAUAUGAACAAGUGCAUGUCAAAUAUCUCAAACUCCCAACUAGGCUUUUGAAUGUUGUAGAGUUUAUCUUCUCCUCUUCAUCAUUCUCUAUUAUCUUCACUCCACACUCAACUAGAAUAUUCUUUUUCGCACAAUCUUUCAUCUUGAACUUCUUGAGAAUCUCUUGGCUUACAAAGAUUCCAUCUUCUCCUUGUUUGAUCUCAAUCCCUAAGUAAUAUGUCAUAAGACCAAUGUCUAUCAUUUCAAACGCCUUGAUCAUUGUUUGCUUGAAGUCUUCAAACAUCUUUGGAUUAUUUCCUAUAAAGAUUAAGUCAUCCACAUACAAACAUAUAAUAAGAGUAUCACCACUCUCUUUGAUCUUUACAUAGAUAGCAUAUUCAUAGGAACAUUUAACAAAUGCAUUCUUUAAGAAAAAGCCAUCAAAGUGACUAUAGCAAGCCCUUGGGGUUUGCUUCAAUCCAUAUAAGACUUUGUUCAACUUUAGUACCUUGUCUUUAUGUCCCUUCACUUCAUAACUCAUAAGUUGCUUAAUGUAGACCUUCUUCUCAAGAAAACCAUUAAGAAAGGCUGAUUUGACAUCCAUUUGAUAGAUUCUCCAUCUAUAUUGGGUAGCUUUGGCAACGAUUAAUUGAACGGUCUCCAAUCUAGCAACGAGAGCUAAAACCUCAUCAUAGUCAAUCUCAUACUUUUAGCUUUCGCCUUUUUUCCACUAACCUUUCUUUGUACCUCUCCAUUUCUCCUUCGGCAUUCUUCUUUUCUUUAUAGAUCCACUUGACACCUAUUAGCUUCUUUCCAUUUGGUCUACGAACCAAUUUCUAUGUGUCAUUCUUCUUAAUUGAUGCAAGCUUCUCAUCCAUAGCGAUUCUUCAUUUUUCAUCCUUUAUUACUUCUUCAAACAUUAUAGGAUCACUUGUAGCAAGGUGAUAAUAUAGUGUUACAUCAUCAUCAAUAGGAGUAGUUACCUCAUAUAGCUCAUCAAGGCUCCACAUUCUUUUUGGUGGACUUGAUGGGUUGCCACUACUUGAACUUUCAUUAGAAAAAAAAAAAGAAAAGAGAUAAAGGUAAAGAUGACACCAUUGGUGAUUAUGGAGGUGUAGUUUGUUCUUGAUGAUCUUCAUAUCUCUCCUUCCCUUUAUCAGAACAGACAAGGCUUCAUCUUCUUCUUUCUUCUUCUUUUAUCUUCUCUCACAGGGCCAUUUCUUUUUCUUUCUCUUCUCUUCUCUCUAUCUCUCCUUCUUAGCUAAAAACAAGCAUUCUAUUAUCUUCUCAUCCUCAAGUACGUUGUCUUUUUUCAUUUUCUUUGGGUUUAAUAACAAUCUAUUUUCUUUUGUUUUGUUUUUCUUUUUUUUUUCCUUUUAAUUAUCAGUCGAAAUUAAGCAUACCAUUAAGGUUGGAAUUUUUCAUUCUUUUCUCUUCCCCUUUUUAUGUUUUUUGCAAUAUUUUUGUUUUUUGUCAUUAUUUUUGUUCAAUUUUGUGUUCUUAAUAAUUUUAUGAAUUAAUAAAUGUGUUGAAUUUUAGUUGUUAUUGAAAUAUUGCAUUAUUUUGUUGAAUUUUAGCUAUUUUUUUUUCAAAUUUGUUGUUCAAUUUUAAUUAAAUGUGUAGGAUUAAUUUUAAUUAUUAUUUUGUAUUUAUUCCAUAUAGAAUAAUUUUUUGUAAAUUUAGGAUUAAAAAUAUUAUAACUUAGAAAUAAUUGUGUUGAAUUUUAGUUGUUAUUAUAAUAUUUUUUGCAUUAUUUUGUUGAAUUUUAGUUGUUUUUCUUUUCAAUUUUGUUGUUCAAUUUCAAUUAAAUGUGUAGGAUUAAUUUUAAUUUUUGUAAAUUUGAAAUAUUUUUUUUUAAAUUUAGGAUUAAAAAUAUUAUCAUGUAGAAAAUGAAAAUUUUCUAUGAAAUUUAAUUAUGCUAAAUUGUUAGAAGAAAUUGAAUAAAAAUACCAGGCCUAGUGGAAGAAAUAUGUUGUGUAUUUGUAGGUUUAAAACUUUUGGGUAGUCUUCUGUGUAGGGGAGGUGCUGCCAAUUGUUUUUAAAAAAAAUACGAAUCAUUUAAUUUUUUUUAUUCAUUAAUUUGUGUAGAUGCCUAUAGAAAAGUCUAAUGCACGUCAUGAGGACAAGAUUGCUGCUAGUUCUUCUAGUAGCGAUGCUGACGACCACGAGUCAUUAGGUGCCAAUAAAAAAUAGGAACUUGAGGCACAUGCAUCAACUCACGACGCGGGCUUGUCGAGUGCAAUGUUGCAACGUCGAGGGGGGGUCCCUUCACAAUGGGAUCCAUUUACUUGCAAGUAUGAGGCCUAGUGGAAGGACGACCUUUCAAUGUAAGUUUUGCUUUCGCAAUGACAUGUUUAAUAAAUUUUCAAAAAAUAAUUUCAUUUAAUGAAUGCAAUUUCAGGUUUAUAAAUAUUGAGGCUGCGAGAACAAUAACAUCGAUCUAAAAUCAUCGAUAGAAAUUUCAUUGUUUUAAUGGAGCUAGGUUUCCAAACAUCCUGAAUGGAAACUGCAGCUCAUUGCAUGAUUUUCAAGGUUCAAGGUUGGUAGUAACUUAAAUAUUUUUUUAUGUUAAUUUGGUUAGUUUAUUGAAAUUAUUGAAUUUUUUCUGAGAGAGUUGGAAAAGCAUUACUGCAAAUAUCACUUCUACUAUUAACUCAUCGACGAAAUUACAGAUGGUAUUCUAUCGGUGAUAUGUUAUAUUUAUCGAUGGAUAUACCGAUGCACAAAUAAAAACACUGAUGACAUUGCAUACAGUAUUCCUGUUUGUGAUAUGUUAAAUUUACCAAUGGAGAUACUGACGGAAUAAAACAGAUAAUUUUUUUUUGGCGUGCUUUGUUUGUCUAUAAAUUCAUUGGUAUAUUUAUUACCGAUGGACUCACCAACAAACCAUAAAUUAUUGGCGAGAGUUUUUUCGAUGGACUGUCUCCAUCCGUGAGCCCGUUGACAAUAUACAUACCAAUGGACUGUGAGUGUGAAUACUGACAAAAAUUUCUGUUAGUAAAAUUGUUAAAUCUAGUAGUGAUUGCAUGAUCCACCGCUAGAAGUGAUGAGUACAAGUUAUGACCAUUUUAAGUUGUUGUUUCUGGUCUGACAUGACUAGACCUUCUCUUGGACCUAGACUUGUCCUACUAGUCUAUAAAUAUAUAUGUUAGAACAUCCAUAUAAUCUGUCUAGAGCAGAUACUCAUCUAAUUGUGGCAGACCCACAUAUGAUAGCUCAGAAUCACCUGUUAUUGCAAGCCCAACUACAUCAUUAAUGGUUUCUCAAGGUAAGUCAUGAGGAAUUUGAAGCAUAUAAAAUGAUAUAACUUGUCCCAAUAUCAUAAAAAUGUUAAAAAAAUGUGAGUAUAUGAACCCAUGAAGCGGGAUCAGAAUCUAUUUUCCUAUUGUUAUUAACAAAACGGAAAGCCAUAACUAACUGUUUGUACUAUAAUAUUGGGAGUGAGAGGUACAAUGUCCAGAAUGCUUCUAAGGAUAACCAUAUGUCCAUAUCCAUAAGAUCUCAAUCGAUUGCCCCUUACUACAGAAUCUAGCACAUCCUUAAGUAAAUAAAGAAAGCUAGAAUAAAGUGCCUUCACUGAUUAUUUAGCAUUACUGAGCAGGCCAAGUCUUCACUGCUUAUUUCCUAAUAAUUCCUUAUUGUGGAAUUGCACUUACAAAUAAAGAACUUGUUAUUGAUAUUUUCGUACAGAAUUUCUCUCUCGAUUAGUCGGUCAAUAAUGUAACUUCGUUUAUUCGGAUUUGAGGCCGGCCAUGAGAUGGAGAGGUUGUGUCACAUUAAUUAUGUCAUGUUAUAUGGAAUCAGAUUCACCAUUAUUAAACUAAAGCGUCUCAUCGAUUCUACGAAACUUGUCGAAAGGAAUCAUUUGUUCAAUAAUUGAAUGCGAUUUUUAUCGGGUUCACCUGACGAUCCAACCUCCAUCCACAAAUCCGGAUCGAAUUCCGAAUGGGUCAAAAUAUCGUCCCCGUAUCUCUCCCUCAACCGAUUAUUAUAGGUCUCCUGAAAAUAAAAAAAGUAAUCAUCAUAUUCAAUUCAAUAAACAUAAUAACUUACAAAAUAAAAUGGUUGAACAAACAUACCAUGAAAUGUUGAGCACGGUUAUCAACGAACUGUUGCGCCCCCUUUUGGCGGUCUUGACUCCGCACGUGCGUCUCCACAAACAGCUCCAUCGGGCUUGGCUCACGUCCAAGAGACGUAGCCUAUAAUGAAAAAAGAUUUAUUAACAACUUAAUUUAACGAUAUAUUUCAUUUAAAUUAAUCUUACCAUCCGUUUCGCAUGUGUAGCAAACGGAACGGAGCCGCCAGUGUGCGUUGUUACUGAGCCAUGAAUUGGCCGAUUCCGGUUGCCAACACCGGACUGUGAGCGUCGUGUAAACCGCUCAGACAUCACGUGCUCAAGAUAGUGCGGCCAUAUAUCUUUUGGGAUGUAUAUCGGUUUGAAAUUCCUCCAAACCGUAACAUCGUUCCAGCCUUGGAAACCCCUAUCUCUAGCGGUUUUUUUUGCCCUUUUUUGUGCUUCAUACCAAAAAUCACGCAACCAAAAAUUACAUUUCGAAAGAUAAAUUUUUGUCUAAAAAACAUCUUGUAUUGUUUUCGAUGUUACCUAGUUGCCGCGUGAUUUUCCCACACCCUCCUCGCAACAGUGUUAUGCUCACUGUCCCAGCAGAAUUUGUCCUGUGUAUAAAUAAUUAAUUUUAAAUAAAAAUAAUAAUUUAUUUACAAUUAUAUUAAUAAUUUAUUAGAAAUAAGCUGAAAAUUAUAAAUUAACACCAACCUCAAAUUUGUCAAACCAUGCAUUGAUUUGAGGCAUCCAUUCAGGAUGCUUGGAUAUCUGACUCCAUUGAAACAAUGGAAUCUUCAUCGACGAUUUAAACGCCGAUGAUAUUACUCGGGCAGCCUCAAUGUUUGUGAACCUGAAAAUAAAUGAAAUAAAUUCAAUAGUGAUUACUUCAUAAGUUAUGUUGUAAUUUUUUUUAAAAAAAAAAACUAAAACCUUAACAAACUUACAUUGAAAGGUCGUCCUUCCACUGUGCCUCGUACUUGCGGGUAAAUUGAUUCCGCUGCGAAGGCACGCCGCCUCUGCCCUGUGAAGUAGCGCUGGAAGAGGCAGCAUUGGUUGACGACGCAGGUGGUGUAGGUGCCUCUUCUUGAGAGGCACCUAAGGAAAUAUCAUCCUCGCUGCUAGACGAACUAGUUGCGACCAUACGUGAGCGACCAGCUUUGGUUUUCAUUCUACGCACCUACACAAUUUUAUACAAAUAAUUAUAUAAUUAAAUUCAAAUGUUAAAAAAAAAUUCGACAGCAUCUCCCCUAUACUGGAUACUACCCAAAUCUACAAACCUGCACAUAUUAACAAUAGCCACAACCAAUUGACCCAAUCUAUACUAACUAUUCCAACAUAUUCAAUUACUAAUCCUAAGGUAAUUCAACAUUAAGAAUUACAAUUCAACAAAUUAUUCAAUAAUUAUGCCAAUACAACAAUAAAAUAUAUUCAAUAAAUAAAUAAAAACUCUAGACUAACAAUUAAAAUUAAUGGAAAAAAUUAAACAUAAAUCAUGCAAUAAUAGAGUAAAAUUAACAAUUAUUUCAAAAUAUUCAAUUACUAAUACUAAGGUAAAUUCAACAUUAACAAUUACAAUUCAAAAAAUUAUUCAAUAAUUAUGCCAAUACAACAAAACAAUAAAUUCAAAAAAAACUCUAGACUAACAAUCAAAAUAAAUGGAAAAACUUAAACACAAAUUAACUAAUAAUAAUUAUGCCAACACAACAAUAAAAAAUAUUCAAAAAAUUCAAAAAAAAAACUAUAGACUUUAGGAAUCAAAUAUGCUUACUUUAAUAAUGUGUUGAAUUCAAUACUUUAUCUACAUUACAAAAAAUACACCAAAACAAAAAACAUAACAAAAAAAAAUAGCAAAAAAAAAACCCCUAAAGUAAAAUGAAAUAGAAGACACACAUACCUUUUAAACUGAUGAAGAUUCACAAGAAAACUUGCUAGAGAUGGUAGGUGAAAGCUUUGAAGAAUGGAGAGGAAAAAAAUCGAAAUUUAAGGUGAAAAACGGAGGAGAAGAAAAAAUGAACUGAAGGGGCGGUCGCUGGAACUUAUAUGGCAGUUUUACCGACGGAUUCACCGAGGGAUAUAAAAUUAAUUAUUAUUUUAAUUUAUUCUGUCAGUGAAGUGUCAAAAAUCCGUCGGUAAUUUUUAAAUUUCGCACCAAAAUUUUUAAUGACCCUCCAUAUUUUUCGUGGUCUGUCGGUAAUUUCGUCGGCAAGAUGACGCGGUCAGAGAUGCAUUUAAUGCACAAUCUUUUGGAAUUCGCACAGUCCGUCGGCAAUUUUGUCGGUAAAAUUGACCUGCCGACAACUUACCGACGGACUUAUAUCCGUCGGUAUUGUCGUCAGUGAUUGUGGCAUUUCAAGUAAUUAUUUUCGAACUCUCUGUGAAAUGCCGACGGACUUAUUCUGUUAGUAUGGACGUCGGUGAUUGUGGCAUUUCAAGUAAUUAUUUCAAGUAAUAAAUAUUUCAUGUUACAAAAUAUAUCAUUCAUAAUCUAAAUUACAUGAAAAAAGGGGUUUUACACAGGGCUUCAUUUUGAUAGUUAGUCAGAAUUUUCUUCUUCUUUGUCCUCAAUUGAAUAGUCAUCACCUUUAUCGCAAUCUUCAAUAUGGAUAUCAUCUUCUUCAUCGACAUUUGCUUGUCCGCUAGAGCUCAAAACAGCAUUCAACUCCUCUACGUGAACAUCAACAAGACUAUCAUCGAAAACAUGAAAAUUUGAAUUUUCUUCCAAUUCAAUCGAAUGAGCAACUCAAUAUGGUUCAACCACCUCACUAACUUGAAAGACUUCAUCUCGCACACUUGUGUCUUCGUUCUCAUCCUGAACAACCUCGACACGACCCCGGGGUUUUGUUUUUAAAACGGACAACCAAUCCACUCUUGAUCGAUCCUUUCUAAAUGAAGGGGUGUAUGUGUAAUAAACUUGUUGACAUUGCUUUGCGAAAACAAAGACAUCGUUUUUGUUGCGGAGUCUAGCUUUUGAGUUGAUUUCGACCAGACCAUAGUGCGGAUCAACUCUGAUUCCUCUGUCAGUCGUGUCAUACCAAUAACAUUUGAAUAAAAACACUUUAUUCUACUCGUUAUGAUAUUGCAGUUCGACGACCUCUUCUAAUCUACCAUAGUAGUCAACUUCUAACUCACUACUAGUGGAUCCCUUAACACAAACACCGCUGUUGUAUGUCUUUCUUCCUUGCCCGUAUUCUUCAGUAUGGAAAACAUAUCCAUUGACAAAAUACCCGUUGUAGCACUUACAUUUUCUUUCAGGCCCCAGGCUUAGUGAAGACAAUGACUUAGGCGCACUCCUUCCCAUUUGAUAAACCUUGUAUGUAAUGUACAUCAAUAAAUAGUAAAUGAACGAGAAUCUCAUAAUGACAUGCAUACGUACAGUAAUUUUGCAAGUUAGAAUGAGUUUGUGAUAGUGCUUACAUGUGUUCUAGACCACGUGACAAAGUGUUCAUCUUGUAAUUGAAAGAUCUGGGAUUCGGUCAGCUAUGAGUUAUUGGAGAGCAAAUAUUGUCGAUGUUGCCUGCAAGUGAUAAUGAGUGUAUGAUAUUAUAAUAAAUAAUUAAUAGUAUAUUACUAACAAAGUUUAAUUACUAUACACAUAUAUAUAUAUAAACCUUACUGAAUAAAAGGUCUCAGCUCAUCACAGUUAAAUAUAACAUAUUUGUGUGCUUAUUUGAACUCUAUUUCCGACAAAUAUCUUCCUCUUACGCCAUUUUUAGGUGUGGGUCGUCCAGUGUUAGAGAAUAUUGACAAGUUUCCACUGGAAGGCACUUCACCGCCAUCAUCAUACCGUGGAACGCGAUUGAUUCUCAUUCUUAGAUGAGGUUCGAAAUAGUACGAUAUAAAUGUUGAGAUCUCCUCAACAAUAUAGGCCUCACAUAUCGAAGCCUCAACGUGCGCCUUGUUCUUAACCUUUUUCUUGAGAUUAAACAAGUACCUGCAUUGAAUUAAUCAAGUAUUUUCAAUUAAGAAAAACAUAGAAAAUACUUUUAUAUAUGAAUUACAUUGCAACUGUAAUAUCUAACAGUUCGAAUGGGUACAUCCAUCUAUAUUGGACCGGUCCUCCAGCUUUUGCCUAGAACGGUAGAUGUAUAGGGAGAUGCUCCAUUGAGUCAAAAAAUGAUGGAGGGAAUAUCAUCUCAAGUUUGCAUAGUGUCUCAACGAUAUUCGUUUGAAGCCUCUCAAUGUGCUCAACAUUCAACUUGCUGGAGCAUAUAUCUCUGAAGAAAUGACUGAUCUCCGUAAGUGCAUCUCAUAUUCCCUUUGGCAACAAAUCACGAAAAGCUAAUGGGAUGAGUGUUUGCAUAAACACGUGGCAGUCAUGACUCUUCAUUCCAUACAAUCUGCAGUCCUCUAUAUUAACCAGCCUUGAUAUGUUUGAUGCAUGUCCAUCUAGAAAACGUAGACUCUUAAGCCAUUUAUAGACUAGCAGUUGUGCGUUUUUCUCUAACACGAAGCUUGCUCUUGGUUUUGCGACCUGUGACUCAUCAUAAAACAACUCCAUAUUUUUACGGUUACAGUAUAAAGCUAUAUCCAAUCUAGCCUUGAUGUUGUCCUUUGUCUUCCCCUUCACAUCCAUGACGGUGUUGAAAAUGUUCUCAAACACGUUCUUUUCGAUGUGCAUGACGUCAAGGUUAUUGCGGAGCAUAUUGGUCUUCCAAUAAGCAAGCUCCCAAAAGAUACUUCGCUUUACCCAAUUAUGGGUCAAACCAAAACCAGGAAACUUUUGCUUACCUGAUUGAAGGCCAAACACAAUGUCACCGUACUCUGAUACAACAUCAUGCAAUUCUUCACCAGAAAGACGCGGGGAUGCAACAUCUUUUUCAACUCUGCCAACAAAGAAAUCUUUUCUGUUCUUUCUAUACCUGUGAUUAAGUGGCAAGAAACGACGGUGACAGUAAAAAAAAGAAGCUUUACCUCCGUUUGCUAGCGUGAAUGCCUUGUUGUUUUCCAUGCAGUAUGGACAUGCGAGUUUCUCAUGCGUGCUCCAACCAGAAAGCAUUCUAUAAGCUGGAAAAUCAUUGAUAGUCCACAUCAAAGCAGCCCUCAUAAGGAAAUUUUGUUUCCUCGAUAUAUCAUAAGUCAGAGCUCUGGAGGACCACAACUGCGCCAACUCAUCAAUCAACGAUCGAAGACAAACAUCUAUAUUCCGCCCUGGGCUGCUUGGACCGGGUAUGACAGUAGAUAAAAACAUGAACUCCGGCCUCAUACACAUUCCCGGUGGCAAGUUAUAAACUGUGAGUAUGACCGGCCAACAAGAAUAAGGAGCAGCAAAUGACCCAAAUGGGUUGAAUCCGUCUGUACACAACCGAAGACGCACAUUCCUUGAUUCAGCUGAAAAGUGAGGAUGAAGACUGUUAAAGCAUUUCCAUGCUUCGCCAUCAGAAGGAUGCACCAUCACUCUAUCAACCGCAUUAUGUGCUUGGUGCCAUGUCAUGUGCUCAGCAGUCCUUGGUGACAUGAAUAACCUCUACAGUCUAGGUGUGAUCGGGAAGUAUCUAAGUUUUUUAUAUGCCACUAGAGUCUUUCCCCUGCCAGUUCUCGGUUUGUAACGGGAAUGCCCGCAUGUCAUGCACUCUGUCCUCUCAGCAUUUUCAAGGUAGUAUAACAUGCAGAAGUUAGGGCACAUGUCAAUUUUCUGGUAUCCUAAACCGAGGGGUUUCAUCAUGGACUUCGCAGCAUAGAAGUUCUCUUUCAGCCUGUCCCCUUCAAGUAAAAUUCUUCUCACCCAUUCAAUAAUGUUGUCAUACCCGACCUCACUCAACCCGUGAUCUGACUUGAUGGUGAACACCUGUGCUAGGGCCGAUAAUUUACUGUGGUUCGUGCAGCCAUCCCAUAAUGGUUCAUCAGAAUCUUUCAACAAAUCAAAAAACCUAGCUGCAUCUGCAUUAGGUUCUUCUUCUACGAUUCGACAUUGACUGACAUUACCUUGAUUCAUUCUCAUUGCAUCCAUAACUAUAUUUAUGUAAGGAUUAGUGUUGUCAUUUGCCGCUUCAUGCACGUUGCUAGCACUAGAAGUAGACCCAACCACCGUUUCUCCCAUUCUCCUCUUACUAACAAAUACUUCUCCAUGUGCAUACCAACACUGGUAAUUCUCCAUAAACCCUUUGUGUAGAAGAUGCAUCAUUACAACAUCUGGAUGCAGAUAUUUUUUAUUUUGACACUUCCUGCAUGGACACCUAAUACCGCCUCUAGUAAAAUUUAUCGGAAUAGAUGUUGCGAAAUUAAUAAAACCUUGAACCCCGUUACAAUAAUCAAUCCUCCGCAAUCCUUGGGGUGAAUCUCAAUACAUCCAUGAACGAUCAUCCAUGACUUAUAUCGAACCUCUAUAAAAUUAUGAUGACAUCAUGUAUUAAUUAACUAAGUUAGGUAAAUAAACUUGUAAAAAUAUUACUUUACCUCGAGAUUAUCCAACAAACCAAUCACAACUUCUCAUAAAUAUUAAAUAUUCAUUAUCAUUUAUCAACGUCCAUACAAAUUAAUAUAUAUAAAUUUACAGAAAUUACCACUCUGCAAUACCAUUAAUAAAACUUUAAACAGACCCAUUAAGCAAGCUAUUAAUUAUUUCAAAACAACACAUGUAAUUCAGUAAUUCCAUAAAGUUUUAACAAUUUACAAACAAAUACAAUCUUACAAAAUCUAAAACAAACCAUAACAGGUAUAGAAUUAUACAUUCAUAUACUACAAGUUUGUUUGAGAAAUAACAAUAAAACAUGUACAUCUACUAACAAAAUACAUAUACUAAAAAAACAAUAAAAUUGACAUUUAAAUGUUAAAAUUUAAAAAGAUAGAAUUACUUACAAAAAUUGAUAAAAUCCGUCGGUAAAUCAGAAUAUGGAUGUUGUGACCACAAAACUUUCAAGAAAUAUAACUUGUUGUGCUGAGAUGAGGGAGAUUUUUGUUUGGGGGGGGGAGGGGGGCUGGUUGUUUGCAGAUGGGGAGAGUUGGGAUUAGGAAGAAGAAGGAGAAAUAGGGGAGGAGAGGGUCGGUAGAGAGGGCAUUUAUUAACUUUUUCCGACGGUUUCACCGAUGAAAUUAUCAAUUGAUGAGUCCGCCAGCUAUUCUGACGGAAAAAUCGACACGUCACCGUAUGGAUCUUCCAUUUCGAAUCCCUCGGUGAUUCCGUCGGUAUUUCAAGCAGUGAACCGGUCACGUCACCGUACGGAUCUGCCAUUUCGAAUCCCUCGGUGAUUUCGUCAGCAUUUUAAACGGCGAACCGGUCACGUCACUGUGUGGGGUUGUCGUUUUGAAUCCGUCGGUAAAAAUAACCCCGCCAAAACCUCUACGUUUGCGACCCGCCUUUUUUUUUAAAUUCAAAACGUUUUCCGUCCGUAAUUCAGUCGGUAACUACCGACGGACACUUGUUGUCGGUAGUUACCGACUGAAUUACGGACGGAAAGGUUUUUGUCGGUAAUUUCGACCUCAAAUUACUGACAGAAAUAUUCCGUCGGUAAAUCCGUUGCUAUUGAGUGAAUUUCUAGUUGUGAAAGGGGCGCAUACGUACCACCCAUCUGUGAUCUCAAUCCAUGGCCAUUCUACGGGUUCAUCAUAAUCCGCAUAGAGUCGUUCAUAUUCUUCAAUGAGAUGGGUCGUAUGUUGUUCCAAGGUCGCGAACUCCUGAGACUGGGUGGUCAAUAUCGAUUGCAAGCUCCCAACGGUUGAGACACUACGGGCCACCUACAAGUUGGUCGUGGAGUUGGAGAGUUUGUACACCUGAUUUCUAUCGGGUCCACCAGAUGAUCCUGCCUCCAUCCACAAAUCCAGAUCGAAAUCCAAGUGGGUCGAAGGAUCGUUCCCGUAUCUCUCCCUCAAUCGGCUGUUAUAUGUCUCCUGAAAAUAAAAAAACUGAAAUCAUCAAAUUUAAUUCAAGUAAAUAAUAAUUUACAAAAGAAAAUGGUUGAACGAACAUACCAUAAAGUGUUGAGCGUAGUAGUCAACGAACUGUUGCACCUCUUUUUGGCAGUCUUCACUCUACACGUGCGUCUCCACAAAAAGCUCCAUUGGGCUUGGCUCACGUCCAAGAGCUGUAGUCUGUAAGAAAAAAAUGUUGCAAGUAAAAUAAAUUUAUAAAUAACAACAAAUUAAUUAAAGAUAAAUGUGAUUAAAAUUAAUUUUUUUGUUAUUUUUUAGGCUUUGUUUGGAAAAACAAAACCUAAUUUUUUUGUAAUAAAACUGUCGAAACAAGCAUAAUGGGGUGUUUGCCAAACACACCCUUAAACCAAAAAACCCUUUUAGCAAAAAUAUUGCAAGCUAAACAGGGUCUUAACCCUUUGACCCAUUCUUGACCCAUCUGGGUUGACCUGAUCGAGUUGACCUGACUGGGAUGACCCAAAAUCUUUGGUUUCAACCAUAAAUCGAACCAAAGAUCCUGGUUUGACCCGAAAACAACUCAAAAAGAAAACAAAAGCCAAAAAACAGAUUAAACACCAAAAAACAUGAAAAAACUCGAAAAUAACAAAUCAAAUGCAAAAAAAAAUGAAGAACACGAAUAACAUGAAAAACAUUAAAACUCAAAUUCUAGCAACAUGAAUUCUAAUCUAGACCAUAUUUCAGGAAAUAAAAAGCACAUAAAGGAUGGAAAUCAAUCAUUGAACAAUAAUUAAGCAUCAAGCAUCGAUGAUUAUCAACCAAUAAUCAUGAUUGAGUCAAAAUAGGUUUUGGUUCAAAACCAAAAUCCUAUGAUUAAAACCCCCAUAAAACUUGUUAUUGAUACAAAUGAACUCUAGACUACUAAUUAAUCAAGUCCAAUGAAGUGUUUAAUGCAAUGGACCAAAACUGGUCCAAAACAUAGAUAUAAGCCAAUGUUUUUCCCAAGAACAUAGAACACUGCCUUAGAAAACCCGGCUAUUGUCAAGCCACCAAAACUGGCAUUUUCGACCACUAAAACAUGCUUUCUUCGUUUCAAAAAGUCACACUACCAUAACCAAACAUGUUUGAAUAAAAAAACUAACAAAUAACAUUAAAAUCAUGCAAGAGGUUCCAAACUUCAAAACUACAAACUUAAAAUAGCCUAUAUAUUUAUGCAAUUUGGAUUCAAUUUUUUUUCCUAAACCUUCAAUAAGACCCAACCAAAACCUAGAAACUAAGAACAUGCAUCAGCCAACAUAAAAAAACAUCAUAACCUUGCUACCACAUCUAGUAGAUUUCAAAAGUACUUUAUUUCAUCAAAACUCAUCCAACAAACAUCACCUAAGUAUUCAGAGACAUUAACAAACAACUCAAAUCAAGAUUUAAACAAUAAAACAACUUUUUUAUGUAUUAAUCAAAAUCAAAACUAAAGAACAUCAUAACAGUAAAGCAAGUUUGAAAACAUCAUUAAACAUGUAAAACAAGUGACUCGACUAACUCGGAAGGAAGUUAAGUUUGAAUGGUCAAAAGAGUGUGAAACAAGUUUUCAAGAGUUAAAAUCCAGGCUAACUUCAACCCAGUAUUGGCUUUACCAAAAGGACAUGAGGGAUUUGUUAUGUAUAGGGAUGCUUCCAAUAAGGGUUUGAGUUGUGUAUUUAUGCAGCACGGAAGGGUAAUUGCUUAUGCAUCUAGAUAGUUGAAACCACAUGAGAUAAACUAUCAUGUACAUGAUUUGGAGCUGGCAGCUGUGGUGUUUGCUUUGAGGAUAUGGAGACAUUAUUUGUACGCGAUAUAGGAGAUGGAUGGAGCUAAUCAAAGAUUAUUACAGAUCACAAAAGUUUAAAAUAUUUGAUGUCAUAAAAAGAAUUGAAUAUGUGAUAUAGGAGAUGGAUGGAGCUAAUCAAAGAUUAUAAUUGUAUUAUUGACUAUCACCCGGGGAAAGCAAAUGUGGUGGUAGAUGCUCUAAGUCGGAAGAAUAAAGCUUUUAUUAGUGGUUUACUAGUGCUAAGUGAGCUAAAUGUGCAUUUGGAUGUGACUUCAGGAGGAAUAUUACUGGCAACAUUAGUGCUAUAAUCAGAUAUGAGAGAAAAGAUUCGAAAAGCUCAAGGUGAAGAUCCUGAAGUGAUAAAAGAAAUGAACAAUGUAAAAGUAGGCCAAGACUCUUUAUUUCGAGUGUCAAAAGAUGGGCUAGUUAUGGGAAACAUAAUAUAUUUACCUGAUGAUAAGGUUUUAAAAAGUGAAGUCUUAAAAGAAGCUCAUGAGUCUAAAUUGACGAUCCAUCUAGGGAGCACGAAAAUGUAUAGAGAUUUGAAGGAGAGUUACUGGUGGCCAAAAAUGAAAAGGGAGAUAACAUAAUACGUGGCCAAAUGUGCCAUAUAUCUACAGGUGAAUGUAGAGCAUCAAUGGCCGAUUGGAGAAUUACAAUCUCUUUCGAUUCCAGAAUGGAAAUGGGAGAAUAUCACUAUGAAUUUUGUAUCUAGCUGGUAAGGACUUGAUGCCAUAUGGGUGAUCGUGGAUAGACUGACAAAGUCUUCUUUGUUUUUGCCUAUGAAGAUAGGGGAUUCGGUUGAAUAACUAGCUCAAUUAUAUAUUAAAGAGGUGGUGAGAUUGCAUGGUGUACCAGUUUCUAUAGUUUUUGAUAGGGAUCCUUGGUUUACAUCAAGGUUAUGGCCGAGUAUACAAUGGGCUUUGGGUACCAUAUUGAAUUUAAGAAUGACUUUUCAUCCACAGACUGAUGGGCAAUCUGAAAAGACAAUUUAGAUUUUGGAAGAUUUGUUAUAGCUUGUAUUCUAGAGUUUGGAGGUCAAUGGGAGGAUCAUUUGCCAUUAGUAGAAUUUACUUAUAAUAAUAGUUAUCAAUCUACUAUUGGCAUGAAACCAUAUGAAGCAUUGUAUGAAAGGUGAUGUCGAACUACAGUACGUUGGGAUGAAGUUCGGGAAAGAAAAUUAUUGGGAUCUGAACUGGUGCAGAUCAUGGUUGAUAAGGUGAAGGGGAUAAAGUAAAGGAUGAAAGAAGCUCAAGACCGGUAAAAGAGUUGUGCUGAUAAUUGACGGAGACCUCUAGAGUUUCAAAUUGGAGAUAUGGUAUUUUUAAAAGUUGCACCAUGGAAGCAUGUGAUUCGGUUUGGAAUGAAAGGCAAAUUAGCACCCAGGUAUAUCGGGCCAUAUAAAAUUAUAGAAAGAAUUGGGAUGGUUGCCUAUCGAAUAAUCCAAUCCUUAGAUUGAGCUGAAAUUUUACGAGGGACUUUAAAAUAUAUUGAAUAAAAUUUGGUUAAAAUUUUAGGAUGAACAGAGCUCGGUGUUGCUUAAAAAAAAUUAGGACCUUCAAAUAGAAGCAAAAUGACUCAUUAAGGGUAAAAUGAUUAUUUGCCAUUAAAAAUAAAACAAAUCAGCUCUCCUUUCCUUUUAUAUGCUGCCGACUGGGCAGAAGCAGAGUGGGAAAAGAAGAAAAGAAAAAAAGCGAGUGAGAAAGAGAGAAAAGUAAGGAAAAAAUAAGAAAAGUGAGAGAAUAAUCUUGUAAACUUACAAAGUCCAACUUAUAAAACACUAAUCUAAGGAAGAAUCAAGUGAAGGAAGGAGGAUUUGAGAGAGAGAAUUUGGCUAACCUUGGGAGAGAAGAGAAAUUGGAAGAAAGUCAAUUAGUAAGUAUGAGAAGUUUGGAUUUAAUGUUUGAUUUAGAUGUUUUUAAGCUAACUCGAUUAAGUUAGGAAGUAAUUUCAUGGAAUUUUACUUUAAUUUCCCUUAAAUCCUUGAUUCUUGAACUUAGGAUUCUUAUGGGAAUUUGGGGGAAUUAGAAAGGGAAGGAAAAAUGAUGAAGUAAGUGGAAUAGCAUGAAAACAAGUUGAAAUAACAAGUAAAUGAAGAAAAAUUUGGGGGAGGAAAAAGAAGAUGACAUUUGGCCAAAUGAAGGAAAAGUGGAGGAAUGAGUUUUGAUGUUAAUGUUUAGGAAACUAUGUUUAAUCAUGAUAUUUGAAAUAUACAAGAAAGACUAAAUGAAGAAAUAACAUUAAAGUUGAGAAAAAUAAGUAAAUUCAAUUUAAAAGAGAAUUGAACUAGUUAAAAAGAAAGUAUGAAGACAAGAUGUUUAGAUUGUGUUUGAAUAUAGUUCUUACAUAUGUUUAGAUAAAAUAAAUAAUAUGAUGUGAAGGCAUAAAGAAUAGAAGGAUUAUUUGAUGGAAGAAUUAUGAACAUAAAGUAAGAAAAGAAGUCAAAAAGGUCAUUCUCAGUCUUCACACUUCAUGCACAAGGAAAUAAUAUGUUUAAUUCGUCAAUCGACUCAUAGCCAACACUGUAACAAAUGUUUGGGAUGAAGGGAAAAGUAUAGAUUUUUCUCAUUAGAGAAAGAAACUGCAUAAAAUGUGAAUGCUGUAAUUAUUUUCAAAGAACUUAACCAUAAAUCCACCCUUCUUGCAAGGAACAAAGCCUUCUUCCCUAUAUUUUCAAAGAAUGCUAUAAUUAUUAUGGUGAAUCAUGCAAGCAUAUCCCACUACCAGAAAAUUGAUAAAUACAAACGGAAAUACCGAGGGAAUAUUUCCGUCGGUAAAUUUCCGAGGGAUUUUACCGACGGAAAUAUUCCCUCGGUAUAUACCGAGGGAAUUACCGUGGGAAAAAAAAUUAAAACAAAGCAAAAAAAAAAUGAUGACGUGUCAUUUUUACCAACGGAAUUACCAACAGAAUUACCGACGGAAUAAAUUCCGUCGGUGAUUCCGUUGGAAAAUUUGUUGGUAAAUUGUGAACACUGUUCAUCAUGUUAAUUACAAAGGGAAUCACCGACGGAAUAUUCCGUCGGUAUUUUCCAGAGGGAAAAGUCGUCGGUGUUAUUUGGCGGUUUUCUGAAAAAAUUCAAUUAAUUUAAAAUUUUCAUUUAAAUAUUACAGACGGAAUCACCGACGGAUUGAAAAAUCAUCGGUAAUUUUUUGGCGGUUUCUGAAAAAAUUUUACGAAAUUGAAAAUUUAAAUUAAAUAUUACCGAUGGAAUUACCGACGGAAUAAUUAAAAAAUAUUAAUAUUUAAUUAUCCGUCGGUAAAUCCGUCGGUAAAGCGUCCCAAUAAAAAGCCUGAAUGCCCUUAUUUCACAAGAGACAGACCCGUUUCUUAUUAUUAUUCUUCUUCUUGUUCUUCUACUUCUUCUUCUUCUUCUUCUUCUUCUUCACUAUAUGUAAAAAACAUCAUUAAGGUAUGUCUUCUUCUUCUUCUUCACUUUAUGUAAAAAACAUCAUUUCUUAUCUAUUUCUUUCUCUUCUUUUCUCUCCUCAUCUCCUUCUCUUUUCCUCCAUGCUUGGAUAUGUCUUUUUCUUCUUUCUUCUUUUAUCCUCUUAGUUUUUUUUUAAUUAAUAUGCUUAAUGAAAUUUUUUUUCUCUCCUUAGCUUCACUUGCAACUACAUUAAGGUAAGAUUUUUCUUUUUUCUUCUUUUUUCAUGAUUUGUUUCACUAUAUUUGUUCUUUAUUUUAUUUUUAAUUGUUUUUGUUCUUAAUAAUUGUAUAAAUGUUGUUGUGAGAUGUUUUUUUCAUAUGAGAUCAAUUUUUAGUAGAUUUAUUUAUAGGAUUUUUAAAUUUUUAGCAAUUGCAACUUCAUUUUUUUCAUAUGAAUUUUUUUAGUUGAAUUUAUUUUUUUAUUUUAUUUAUUUGUUGCAAAUUUGUUUGAAUUGAUUUUCUUAUUCUUUUUUCCAAGCAUUUUGAGUAUAUAUUAUACAGUGUUAAUUUAUGUCAAUUUAAUUAUUUUAUAAUUUUAUAAAAUGAAUUUUUUUAAAAUGUUUUUCAAUAAUUACCGACGGAAUUACCGACGGAAGUUCCGUCGGUAAUUCCGUCGGUACAUCCCUCGGUAAUUCUGUUGGUAAUAAAAAAAUUAUUACCGACGCGUCUGUUCCGUCAGUAAAUCCAUCGGUAAUUCUAUUACCAACAGAUUUACCGACGAACGAUUCACCGACGAAUCAUUUCCGUCUUUGAUUCCGUCGGUAAUAUAAUUACCGAUGAAAUAUGUGUCUUACACCGACGGAAAAAUUCCGUCGGUAAAACUGUUAAAUCUUGUAGUGUCCAGAAUGAUUUGAUAUUUCUUAAUUGAAUUUUGGAAAAGUCGUGAUACUUGGUAAAGCCUUUGGAUAGUUUCUCUGAGAUGUGAUGGAAUUAACAACAUAUUGAGAAUAAUAAAAAAGAAAAAGCAACUGAAUCAAUGAUCAAAAGUUGUGAAAAUUAUAUCUUUCUUUGAAGAUUUUGAUUUUGACCACAGUGAACCUAUAAGCUUAGAUAGAGAGGGCUUCUAUGAUUUCUAUAUAUACGGACUAGCUUGGCUUCAAACCAUAUGUACAAGUCAAGCUCAAACUCAGAACCUACUUAAACUGUUUCUUCUUCUUAUUUUUUAGUGUCAUUUUGCAAAUGGCUCGCCAAGCAGAUCGCCUUUACAAGAUUGGGUUAAAAGGGUUUGCACUAAUAGACGAGUGGUACGGGUGCCCUAGGAGGUCUUCAACUCCUCAAGAGCACCAUCAGCAACGAUAUGAUUAUGGUGGAAUCCAAGUUCCCAUGAUGAAAAUGGAUGUUAUCAACAACAAGGAGGCAGCUAAACAUUAUGGUGGGGUGGUGAUUAUGGAUUAUCGAAAGAAAAAAUUACUCUAUUGAGCUCUUUAGUGAUAAUGUAUUGGGCCUUGCUUUGCUUGGUUAAGUUAAUUACCAAGCAUAAUUAAGUCGUUUUUAACUUUAUUGUUUUCUUCUUCUUUUUCCUAUGUUUGUGUGUGUGUAUGCCAAUUGUUUUAGAGUCAGCUACUCCAAAACAUGAAAAAGUAUGAGUGCCUUAAAGUGAAUUGUUGCACCUCUUAUUUCUCUAUGAUUACGAUUGUUGGGUUUCUUGAAAUACAUGACAUAGUGAAAAUAGUUUUUUCAAGUCUCAUGUAUCUCAUUAAACAACAUAAACUUAUUUAAGAUUUGUGCGAAAAUUGUAUGAAGAUAGUUCUUCCUCCUAGAAUUUGAUCAACACUUGAAGGCUGCAUUCUCGUAAAUCAAGUCCUUACUUGAUUUUUCUAAAUCUAGAAUUUUAAUCUCAUGUGCUAAUUAUAUUAUAGUUUUCANNNNNNNNNNNNNNNNNNNNNNNNNNNNNNNNNNNNNNNNNNNNNNNNNNNNNNNNNNNNNNNNNNNNNNNNNNNNNNNNNNNNNNNNNNNNNNNNNNNNAAAAAUGUAUUAUUCUGUAUUUGUAAUCUUAGUUUGUUUACUUGCAAUUGUUAUGAAUUAUGUGUGUUAAUGGGAAAGAAAUGAGCAUGCGAAAUGUGAGGCAUGUACCAUGAAUGAUGUGUUGUCAAGGUUCUACAUGAUUAUGAUAUGAUUGAGAAAUGAGUAUAACUAUACAGGAUGAUUGUCGAUAACUUGGGACCUCCAGGUAUAAAGGAAACUCUGCCGAAAUUUCAGUGGAAAUUUUGGCAACUCUCGGAUAAGUUCGGUGGAUGAAAAAAAAAAAUACCCAUUUUUUUAAAAGUUAAGGCUCAAAGUACUUUGAUGAAUGUACUAAAUUACAGGGUGUUACAAUUUCUGUAUCGGAUUCUUCAAGGAUAGUUUAAAUGUCUCAAAAGUUUAAAAUUUAAAAUAAAUUUAAAAAAAAUAAUUAGGAUUGCUGUUUUGGAUUUUUCAAGGAUAGUUAAAAGUCUUAAAAUUAUAACAUUCAAAAGAAUUUAAACAAAGGAAUUAGGAUUUCUGUUUUGGAUUCUUCAAGGAUAGUUUAAANNNNNNNNNNNNNNNNNNNNNNNNNNNNNNNNNNNNNNNNNNNNNNNNNNNNNNNNNNNNNNNNNNNNNNNNNNNNNNNNNNNNNNNNNNNNNNNNNNNNUCGCCGCGUCGCCGCGCACCCCGCUAUAAUUAUUAUGGUGAAUCAUGCAUGCAUAUCCAGAAUGAUUUGAUAUUUCUUAAUUGAAUUUUGGAAAAGUCGUGAUACUUGGUAAAGCCUUUGGAUAGUUUCUCUGAGAUGUGAUGGAAUUAACAACAUAUUGAGAAUAAUAAAAAAGAAAAAGCAACGGAAUCAAUGAUCAAAAGUUGUGAAAAUUAUAUCUUUCUUUGAAGAUUUUGAUUUUGACCACAGUGAACCUAUAAGCUUAGAUAGAGAGGGCUUCUAUGAUUUCUAUAUAUACGGACUAGCUUGGCUUCAAACCAUAUGUACAAGUCAAGCUCAAACUCAGAACCUACUUAAACUGUUUCUUCUUCUUAUUUUUUAGUGUCAUUUUGCAAAUGGCUCGCCAAGCAGAUCGCCUUUACAAGAUUGGGUUGGAAGGGUUUGCACUAAUAGACGAGUGGUACGGGUACCCUAGGAGGUCUUCAACUCCUCAAGAGCACCAUCAGCAACGAUAUGAUUAUGGUGGAAUCCAAGUUCCCAUGAUGAAAAUGGAUGUUAUCAACAACAAGGAGGCAGCUAAACAUUAUGGUGGGGUGGUGAUUAUGGAUUAUCGAAAGAAAAAAUUACUCUAUUGAGCUCUUUAGUGAUAAUGUAUUGGGCCUUGCUUUGCUUGGUUAAGUUAAUUACCAAGCAUAAUUAAGUCAUUUUUAACUUUAUUGUUUUCUUCUUUUUUUUCCUAUGUUUGUGUGUGUAUGCCAAUUGUUUUAGAGUCAGCUACUCCAAAACAUGAAAAAGUACGAGUGCCUUAAAGUGAUUUGCUGCACCUCUUAUUUCUCUAUGAUUACGUUCUUGGGUUUCUUGAAAUACAUGACAUAGUGAAAAUAGUUUUUUCAAGUCUCAUGGAUCUCAUUAAACAACAUAAACUUAUUUAGGAUUUGUGCGAAAAUUGUAUGAAGAUAGUUCUUCCUCCUAGAAUUUGAUCAACACUUGAAGGCUGCAUUUUCGUAAAUCAAGUCCUUACUUGAUUUUUCUAAAUCUAGAAUUUUAAUCUCAUGUGCUAAUUAUAUUAUAGUUUUCAAUUUCUAAAACUUAUUUACAAUCAAUUUGUUAUUAUCUACUUUUGACUCCACAAAAAAUCAAGAAAAGAAAGAGAAAAUAGAAAGAGAAAAUCCAAAAUACAAGAAGAUAUACAUGAAAAAAAAACAUAAAAGAUUACUUAAGUUGAUGGUGAAGGACCAAAUUACAUGUGGAAAAGUUGAAGGACCAAAAUAUACAAAACUACUAUAAUUAACAACUCAAUUCCAAUUGACAAAGGGCCCCAUUGGUGAAAAUAUUUCUAUUAGGGUAAAGAAAUACAAAUUUGGAUAGGUAAGGACUUAAUGAGAAUUUUGGAAGGCUUAAUUAAUUUUAUUGAGGACUUGAUUACUGGGAAAAUCAGUUUUUAGAGUCAAUUUGGGUGUUAAUUGAAAUAAAUUAAAGUCCAUAGACUUAAUUGGUUUUUUAGGAGGUUUAAUUGGAUGAAUCAAGGGCUUAAUUGUAAGAAUAUUGAAGUUUGGUAGGUAAUUAGGGACUUGAUUGAAGAAAUCUAAAACCAAGGACCAAACUGAAAAAAGGCGCAUGACUGUAGAGACUAAAUUUGACCAAAUUAGGGGCCAAAUUGAAGAAAAUUGAAAGUUUAAUGGUCAAUUAAGGGUCCGAGUGCACAAAUUAGAAACUAAGGACCAAGAUUAAAAUGGCGCUGAACUUUGAGGUUGAUGAUUGAGCUGGACAAGGGUGAAAUUACAUGAAAUUAAGAGUUUGAAGGACAAUUAUAGGUGCAAUUAAAACAAAUUUGAAGAAUAGGGACUAAAGUGAAAAUUUUCAAAUCCCAAAUAAAAAACCCUAAUUUCUAGGGUUUAACCUAGAUGAUGCGUCGUUCGACCAUUGUUUAGUUUUUUGUUGGCAAUUUUGGUUGAUCGAGUAGGCACCUUCAAACGAAUGAAUGUGGCGUUUCCAACCACUUCUAGGGUUGUAACCACCACCAUUUAAUUGAGAAACACCCCAUCUACAAAGAUCAACUACGACCAUCAAGCACUUAUAUCCCAUUUUCUUUAUCGAACUCAACAACAUCUUUUCCUAGUUAGCCAUUACUACAUUUUCAAAUUCUCGGAUAAUCGAGUUGUCGCCUUCAACAAGUGAAUAUGGGGCUACAGACAUCCAAAUUGAACAAGAAUGGACCAAAUCGAAAGGUGUGAUUCUCCUUUAUAAAGUUUAGGUGGUCUCCAAUAACAUUUACGUUGGAGUUGCUCUGGCGUGGCCUCAAAAUUGGUCAACUUAGUCAGUCUUGACUAAGAUACCUAUUUGUACAAAGUCAUUCAACUUUUUCGUGUGUUCACACUUAAAAAAUUUUAGAGGGUUCUUAUCAAGGGUCAUAAAUCUCAUCCAUAAUCAGAAGGUGAGGGAUGCAUGCCUUUGUCUCCAAGAAAAAAAAAACCUCCUAGGUAAUUUUGUUAGAAAACCAUUGUCCCAAAACCAUUGAAAGACAAAGGUUCUGAUUGUUAACAUUUGUCCAGAACUCUCUCAUUUUGAUCAAAGAACUAAGCUUUGAUCGAUCUAUAUUUGAAUCCAUUAAACACCCUAGCAAAACCCUAUAAAUACCCCCUGAAAAAUAAAAAUAAAAAGAGAGAGAGGAAAAACAUGGAAGAAACACACUAUGAAAAGAUCCUGGUGUGAAGGUUCAAGAGCCUAACAUAGAGGGUCUAACAAGCUUUAGAAAAAAUAUAGUGAAAGGGAAAGAGGUAAAUAAAAGAGAAGGAAAAUAGUUCAUAGCUAGCAAGCUUGGAUAAGGUAUAAAUAUGUAGAAAUUCAAGCGUGGAGUCCAUGUGGCCUUCCUUUUCAUGCUUUCUUAAUGUUUAAACCUCUUUUGAUGUUGUUUGAGCUUGUCUUGCAUUUUUUGGUUUGAUUUUGGUGCUGGAAUAAUUUGAUGUAUUUUCAGCAGAGUUUGUUUUAUUAGAUUUCAUUAUGAUAAUUUGUUUUAGUUUUGGUUAAUAAUUUGUUAUUGAGGUUUGCACUAAAGACAUGAUUCUUGGUUUUCACACUUGUUUGAUUAUGUGAUUUUAGCCUAAUAGCAUGAUGAUGAUGUAUUUGAGAUAUUUUGAUUGGUGUUUGAAUCUAUUUUGUAAUUAAACAAUGAGUUGUUUUUGUUUGUGGGUUAAAUAUUUUGGAAGCAUGUUGAUUAAUUUGAUGAUUUUAGUGCAAGUUCAUGGUUUAUACAAGUAUGUUUUGGCAUAUAGAUGUUAAAAAUAUCAAGUUUUGAAUCCAAAUAGCAUGAAUAUGCUUGUUGAUUAUCUUUAGUAGUUUUGAACUUUGGAACUUAAUGCAUGUUAUUGAUGACUUUAUUUUAUUUGUUAGUUCUUUGAAUUCAACAAUGCUUAAUAUUGAUAAUAUGGUUUGCAAGGACCAAAAGAAACAUGUUUUAGAAGCCUUAGAGGCUAGUUUUGGGUUUAAUAGUAGGUUGGGAACUUUUAGGUUGCUGGGUUUGGUUUUUUCAUGUUCUUGGAAAGAAAAUUGCCUUAGCACUAUGAUUUAGAUCAAUUUUGGUCCCUUUGUUUACACUAAACCAUUCAGGGGACUUAACUAGUAGAUAAUAUAGGGUUUAUUUGCAUUAAUAACAAGUGUAUGGGUUUUUAAUCCUAAGAUUUUGGUUUUUAACCGAAACCCAUUUUCACAAAAUCACGUUAAUUCUUUGAUAAUCGAAGUAAUGGAUGCUAGAUUAUGGAUCCUUGCAUGAUUUCAAAUAAAACCUUGCCCUUGAUUGCAUGAAAACUUGACUGGAUUAAGAUUUGUGUUUGUUGGUUUGUUGAUGAAUGCUCUUUGUGUUCUUCACGAUUUGAGUGUUUGAUCUAUUUUUCUGCAAAUUUUUUUUUAUGUUUUGUGUUAAUUUUCAACUUUGAUUUUGUUUCAGGUUAAACCUUUGUUUGAGUUUACUUUUCAGAUCAAACCUUGUUUUUUGGUUCAGUUCAUGGUUAAACUAGUGUCUUUGGGUCGACCCGUUUGGUUUUGUUUUAGGUCAAGUACUUAAGGCUUUGUUUGUUUGAACAACCUUUUGUGAAGGAUUUUUUUGGCCCAAGAGAAUGUUUGGCAAACACACACUUAAGUGCAUUUUGGUAAUUUCUAGGGAAAGAAAAGAUGGUUUUGCCAAACAUUGGCUUAUAGAAAUAAACUAGCUAUGUGACCCGCGCUCCACCGCGGGUUAAAUAAUCAAAAAAAUUUAAAAGAGCUCCUAAACAAAAUAAAAGAGAUGAUGUUUUAUCCAGGUUAUAAAAAGGUCCAAAGAUGUUGGGUCUUGGUGGCAGAAGGAUCCAAUUGGGUGUUGGGCCAUGGUGGAGGCAAGGCCCACAACUGUUGGGUCUUGGUGGGAGGACCCAACACGCAAUUGGGUCCUACACCGUCAAGACCCAACAUCCACAUGGGUCCUGCACCUGGCAGGACCUAGAAGGAUGUGGGUCCUGCACCCGGCAGGACCCAACAUGCAAUUGGGUCUUGCACUGUGCAGGACUCGAAGCUAAUUUCGGUCCUGCACCUUGCACGACCCAAAGUUAUUGUGGGUCCUGCGCUAUACUCAAUUGGGUUGGGUCCUGCAUCCUGUAGGACUUAAAGUGCAGGAUCCAACACCCAAUUGGUCCUGCACAUGUCAGGACCUAACACAUAAUAUAUAUAUAUAUAUAUAUAUAUAUAUAUAUAUAUAUAUAUAUAUAUAUAUAUAUAUAUAUAAUUCAAAACUACUGCAUAAAAAUCUAAAGACAAUAAAAUAUUGAUAUAACUUUGAAUCUCAUACACUAAUGUUAUAAAAUUAAAAUAUCUUGUAUUACCUAAAAUAAAAUCUCUUAUAUAAUACUAAAGAUUUAUAAAGUAUAUGAUGUAAAUAAAAAAUUUCUUGAGAUUUCUAUCAACUUUAAUAUGAAAAUAUUAGAGAAUAGAAUUAAAAAUUUUCAACUUUUUUCAAAGUAUUUUUAAAACUAUGAGUCAGGUGCCCUUGUCAACUCUUAGUUUUUUAGGUCUAGAAGGGAAUGUCAGAUCCAUGUUAAUAAUAAUAAUAAUUCAUUUAAUUAUAAUUAAAAUGAAGAAGAAGAAGAUACAAAAAGGAAAUUAAUACAGGUUUGUAAGCCAUGUAAAACACAAUUACUCAAGAUAUUUCAUGGUUUGCAUGCCUCUAGUUUGCGUGCGUGGUUAGGUUUCCCAUCUAUUUUAUGAAUUCACGCAAACCUAUUAUGAUAAUAUUUACAUACCAAGCACUAGAAACUAUAGAAGAAAAAAGAAAAUCUGACAAUAAGAAAAAUAUAUUGGUCUCAUAAUAUCUAUUUAGCCUUACACUUCUGGAAAAAGAUUAAUUUUCCAUCAGCACCAUGGACAUCUGGAAAUUUUUAUUUUUUGAUUUACUUUAAAUUAGUAUUUUUUUGACAUUUUUGUAUUAUUUUUAAAAGAUUGUUUCCAAAAUAUAUAUUUAGAUUGUGUCUUGAAAAUUUUUAAUUUUUUUCUUGACUUUAAAUUUUGAAGACACAAUCUCAACAUAAUUUUUUAAAAGAAAAUAUUUAAAAAAUAAUAGAAAAACAAAGAAAAAAGUAAUUUAAAGUAAAGGAAAAAAAUAAAAAUAUUUCAAGACACAAUUUCAAUAUUUUUUUUCAAACAUAGUAUUUAAAAAACAAUAGCAAAAUAUAAAAAAAAUCAAUUUGAAUUAAAGGAAAAAAUUAAAAAUUUUCAAAUUUCUUGGCUCUUGCUUCACAGUCAGACACAAUCUCAAAAAAAUAAUUUAAAAUCUUUAUUUAAAAAAUAAUAGAAAAACAUAGAAAAAAAAAUUUAAGUAAAGAAAAAAAUUAAAAAUUUUCAAGACACAAUCUCAAUGUAUAUUUUGAAAAAAAAUAUUUUCAAAAUAAUACAAAAAUAUAUAUAAAAAAUUAAUUUAAAGUAAAUUAAAAAUUUUCAAAUUUCUUGGGUCUGGCUUGUCAAAAGUUAUUUCAAAAAUUACAAAUUCAAAAAAUUAAUGUUGUUGGGUCUUUUGGUAGAGAAGGCAACGCCCCCAGCUCUUGGAUCCUAACUCUAAAGGGUUGAGGAGAACCCAAUGUCAUUGGGUCCUGGUGUUAGCAAUACCCAAUAACCCACAGUCAACCACUAUGUUGGGUCUCCCAGUAGCUCUGGGAAGACAAGGCAAAGCCUCCAUCCGUAAAUUUUGACCAAAACCAUAGCAGGGUAUGACCCCCAAGGUGUAUGGCUGCUAGGUCUGGCUGUGUAACCACACCCAAUAUCCUUAGGUAUGGUUGUGCAGCUAAACCCAACACCUUUGGAGGGUGUUAGGUCCUGCACCGUGCAUGACCAAAAUAGCUAUGAUAUAAGUAAUCCAUCCUAGGGACAUCGGCAUAGGAAGAUUGAAAAAAAAACAAAACAAAACAAUUGAUUUCCUUUGGUAAAUGGAUUGGAAAUCCAUGUUAUCACGAAUGUGAGAAUUCAAUCACCCAUACCUCUCUAUAUCUCUACACAUCGUAAAUAUAUAUAUCUUUUUCACUACAAUAUAACACCACCAUUGAAUAUUAAUGCAAGACCAUUGAUCAAUAAGGAUGACUGGCUUCCAGACCCAAUAACCAUACCCAAUUAAAUUUCUUUGUCGUUGUCUUCUCUGAUUUAAAUUUAUUUUUCAAAAUAAAUUGAUGAGAUUUUUUUUAUAUUGUAUAAAAGUUGAGUGAUAAUAUUUUUUUCCCAUUUCAGGUUGGGUUAAAUUUCCUAAUUAAAUCAUGUUUGAUUUUGCGUUUUGAAAAUUCCUUGAAAUUUUUUUGAUAAUUUUUAAGUUUUUUUUCUUUGCUUGAAAUUAAUAUUUUUGUUAUGUUUUUGUAUUAUUUUUUAAAAAAAUAUGUUGAGAUUAUGUCUGGCUGCGACGCUAGACAAAAGAAAUUUUAAAAUUUUUAAUUUUUUUCUUUACUUCAAAAUAUUACUUUCACCAUGUUUUUGUAUAUUUUUUAAAUAUUUUUUUUUUAAAAAAAACAUAUAUUGAGAUUGUGUCUAGUUGAGAGGCAAGACUCAAGAAAUUAAAAACAUUUUCAUUUUUUUAUUUACUUCAAAUUAAUUUUUGUUUAAUAUUUUUUUCUUCAUUUCAAAUUAUUUAGAUAGUGUUUGAUUUUGCAUUUCAAAAAUUGUUUGAAUUUUUUUUGACAAUUUUAAAGCUUUUUUCUUUACUUCAAAUUAAUUUUUUUUUAUGUUUUUGUAUUUUUUUUUUAAAUGUUGGCAUUGUGUUUGUCUGCGAUGCUAGACCCAAUAAAUUUUUAAAUUUUAAUUUUUUUCUUUCCUUCAAAAUAAUAUUUUUUUUUCAUGUUUUUAUAUAUUUUUUAAAAAUAUUGAGAUUUUCUCUGGCUCGUUUUGUGGGGCCUCUAAACCCAAGGAGGGUUAGAACAGACCUCGACGGCUGGGUCUGCACCCAGCGCGUGUGUAAUAGUCCGAACUGUACGACUCGAUCAAUGUUAAAAGAUUCCAACAUAUACUCUUUAUUUGAGGGUAAUGUUUUUUUUUUAUUUCCAAAAAUUCGACAGAGUUUUGUUUGCAUUUAGAACAUCCCAAGUUAUCGACUACUAUCAAUUUACUCAAUCAACCCAUUAUCACAAGGUCCCUUAAUUCCGGACCUUAUAUCAAACCUCAUAAUUCCACACCUCAUACAAUCCACACAAUAUAUAUAUAUAUCCUACGAGUAAGUUCAAUAUGAACAUAGUCCAACACAUCGUAUCAUAAAAUUUAAAGGAAAAGCAAUACUAUCAUGCAAAGAAAGUAUUUACAGUUAAUUACAAGAUAACUAAAAUACUACAUGCUAAGCUAAACCUUUAUAAAUACAUCAAGGUUUGCACAAAAGUAUACUACAUAAACACGUUAAUUCCCUUUUGUUUUAAGUUAAAUAUUUACAUAAGCUUCACAAGGUAGAGUCCUAAACUAAUGAUCUUCCUGGAUGUUUGAUGGACCUGUUACAUAAAUAAACAUACCAUUAUGUUGAUAAAGAAUAUAUGUAUGCUCAUGCAAUGAAUACGAAUGAAGUAUUAACUUUCUAUCGAAUCCAUGAGAAUUCUAACAAAUAACUUAUAUUUUGCUUGUAAAUCUUUUAAACCCAAUUAACACUCAUUUGUAUAUUCUUAAUUGAAUAAUCUUAUUUACUUGCAUAAACUGGGUGACCUUGCAAGGUUUAAUCUUGUAAUUCAUUUCCCGGCAAUCCUAUCAUGGAUGCCAUUAGCCGAAGCUAAUUAUGUAAAUCAUUUCCCGGCAAUCCUAUAACGGAUGCCAUUAGCCGAAGCUAAUCUUGUAAAUACACUAGGCUUUAUUUACAUUGAACACGAUAUUUAUUAUAAUUGCAUUCACCAGAAGGAUUCUAAAUUGUAUAAGUGCAAAUAGGAGGGAAAAUCAUGCACCUGCUUCGUCUGUCUCGCGACCUCCCCUAACAAAAGAUCCAAUCCUAGUUGCUCCUCCUGAAUCACAAGGAAGUUUUUUUUUUUUGGUUAUGAUUCCUUCAAGCCGAUAUUAUAGAGAAUUCAUAUUCAUCCAUUACUCAUAUGUUACUUUCUAUGCAUGUUCAUUUCCUCAUAAUAACAUACAUACAUAUAUCAUGUAUAUUUUCAGAGUUAGUAUCUCAAUAUACAAGUGUUCGUAUGACUCAAUUCUUUUAUAUUCUUAUUUAUAGUAUUCACGUCAAAGUCGUCUGACUUUGAACUGUUACUGUUUGACUUUGAACUGUUACUGUCCAAUUUCCAACUGUUACUGUUUGACUUGGAACUGUUACUGUCUAAACACUCAUCAGAUUUUUAACUAUAUCUAAAGUUCUAAAACUCCAUUUUAAGUGAGAUUGAUCUCGCUAGAAAGCUAAGACACGAGGCUACUAGUUCUCUGAGGAAGGAGAACCUAGUUUUGCCUCCAAGAUAGUCAAAAUUGUUCAUUUACUAAUUAGUCCUACUACCCUACAUAAUUAGUUACGACUCAAUCUCAGUUGGUAACCCAUAACUGGAGUUCUACAUCUCCAAAUUGAGCAAGACCAGUUUCUUUGGUUAGCUAACAUUCAAAUCUACAAUUUCUAUGAGGAACCCGAUCCUAAUCCCCUCAUCCUCCUACCCGAAAUCUCAUCAAAAGUUAGGAGACAAGUCUGUCUAGAUUCGUCUCCCCCUCCCCUUCACACAAUACUUUCAUAAACUACAUACCACACACAUGAAUUAACUUAAUCUCAACAAUAAGUACUUUUUCCCCAAUUUAUGUCUAAGAACCCUAACCUAUGAUUCAAUAUCAAGGCAUCAAUUCUUUAUCGAAUUUAAAAAUGAAUUUUUUUAAGAUCAUGUUUAGAAUACCUUACCCGGUACAAAUUAAGAUUUUGAUCUUCAACCAGUUGAAGAUUUUCAACUCCCUCCUUUCUUUUCUUCUUGUUCAAUUUCUUGGUAAUUUUUUGCUCUCAAGUGUUUAUCCCAUCUAUAAGCUCUUAAUCUUGGAUGGGUUCUUGAAAUUUUAGUGUUUCUCUCUUGAUUUCUCAAGAAUGGGUAUAAACUCCCUAUCUUCUCUUCUUAUGGUUCCUACAGAUUUUUUUGGUGAGGAGAGAGUAUUUAUACUCUAUAUUUUCCCUUAUUUGCAUUUAGGCCCUCCUUUUCCUUUAAGUGUAUUAUUCUCUUCAAUUAAAUCCAACCCUCAACAGUACCGGGUUUAUUAUAAUAUCGCGAAUUAUUUCGCUCGGAAAUUUAUAUUCAAAAAUUUCAGAAUUUCUGUUUUUAUUUAACCAUAUGCAUGAAUUUCAUCACUUUUAUUUAUUUAUUAUUUUUCCCGGGGUUUACAGCGCGGGUCCAGAGGCCAGGAGCGCGGGGUUGCAGACCCUGCCUCGCGGGUAUGCAGACCCCAGGGUCACAAGGCUGCACACUCGCUUGCACUGGGGAUGCAGCCAGGCGCGCGGGUCUGCCUUACCACCUAAGGCAUGGCAGGCCCCGUGCUAGGUGUCUGCAUGCUAGGGCCUUGGCCAGCCCUAGUGCUAGGUGGCAGCAACCUAGAGCGCGAGCAGGCGCACGUGGCCUACCCCACUCCCAAGCCUGACAGCCUAAGCGCCAAGUGUCCCCAGCCUUAGGGGUUGUGCGUCCAGCCAGACACUUGGGGCCCACACUAAUAUUUUUUUCAAAAAAUAUUUUUUAACAAUAAUAGUAAUAAUGAUAAUGAUAUUUGUUAUUAUAUUUUUUUUUUUGCAAUUUCCUUCCAUUUUUAAUAUUAAUACAAGUAAUAAUAUUUAGUAAUAAUAUUUUUUUUAACAUUCAAUGAAAUUAAAAAUAUAAAUAUUUAGAAUAAAAAUAAAAAUAUUUAGACUACAAAUAAAAAUAUUUAUCACAUUAAUAAUAAUAUGAAACUUGUUUGACCAAAGUUGAUAAAAUAAUAUUUUUUUUAAAAAAAAUUAUUAACAAUAAUAAUAACGAUAAUUGUUGUUAUAUUAUUUUUUUCAAUUUUCUUCUAUCCUUAACAUUAAUACUUUUAAUUACAAUAAAGAUAAUAAUAUUUAGAAUACAAAUAAUAAUAUUUAUCAUAUUAAUAAAAAUAUCUACAGUAAUAAAUUUUUUUAUGAUAAUUAACCAUGAGACAAUAAUAAUAAUGAUAAUUGCUAUUGUAUUUUUUCCCCUGCAGGGUCUGUCGAUCCAGCCGUGCGAGCCUCUAAACCCAAGGGCGGUUAGAACAGACAUCGGCGGUCGGGUCUGCACCCAGUGUGCGGGUCAGGAGGCUAGGAGCGCGGGGUGCAAACUCUACCUCGCUUGUCUGCAGACCCCAGGGUUGCGGGGCUGCAGCAAACCCCGCGCCAGGUGUCUGCAUGCUAGGGCCUCGGCCAGCCCUAGCACCAGGUGGCAGCAGCCUAGGGCGCGCGCAAGAGCGCGUGGCCAACCCAACGCCCAUGCCUGUCAACCCAAGCGCUAGGUAUUCGUAGCCUCAGGGGGUGUGCGUCCACCCAGGCACUUGAGGCGUGCAAUAAGAUUUUUUGAAAAAAAAGUUUUUUAAAGAAUAAUAAUAAUGAUAAUUGUUAUAAUAUUUUUUUUUCCAAUUUUCGUCUAUUCAUAAUAUUAAUACAUUUAAUUAAAAUAAUAAUAAUAAUAAUAAUAGUUAGAAAAAUAAUAAUAUUUAUCACAUUAAUAAUAAUAUGAAACUUGCUUGACCAAAGUUGAUACAAUAUUAAUAAUAAUAUGAAACUUGCUUGACCAAAGUUGAUACAUUAUUAAUAAUAAUAUUUAUCACAUAUUUUAUCAAAUUAUUUACAAAUAAUAAUAUAUUUUUAUGUUUGAAAAUCCAUUUUUUAUAUACUCACAUCAAAAUAUUCAUUCGUGUAAAAAGGAAAUAAUAAUAUUAAUUUUUCUUUUCUUUUCUCUUAUUUUCGAUAUGAAUACUUUUUUAUAUAUAUUUUUGAUAUUUCUCUUCUUGAAUUUGCUUAUUAAAGCAUGUUUGUUUUUGCGUUUAAAAAAUGCUUUGAAAACAUUUUUAAAAUUUUUAAUUGUUUUGUUUACUUCAAAUUAAUAUUUUUGAUGUUGUAUUUUUUUUUGGUCUAGGUCCAUGACUGCGUUUUUAUUAUAAUUCUAAUUAUAAAAUAAUAAUAUUUAUAAUAAAAAUAAUUAUAUUUAGAAAGCUAAGACCCAAUUCUCUUGGGUCGUGACGCAGGACCCAUUACCCUUGGAUCCUGCCGUGGGACCUAAAGGAAUUGGGUCCUGACGCAUGACCCAAUCCUCUUAGGUCCUUGGGUCCGGCGGCAGGACCCAAGAGAAUUAUAAUAAAAAUAAUAAUAUUUAUAAUACAAAUAAUAAUAUGUUUAAUGUCAAUAACAUUAAUUAUAAUAAACAUAACAAUAUUUAUAAUACAAAUAAGAAUAUCUUGAAUUUCAAUAACAUUAAUUAUAAUACAAAUAAUAAUAUUUUUCAUUUAUUAAUUAUUAUAUGAAUAAUAUUAAUUAUAAUAAAAUACAAAUAUUUAUAAUACAAAUAAUUUUAAUUUUAACGUUAUUAUUAUUAUUAUUAUUAUUUAUAAUACAACUAAGAAUAUUUUUUAAUAACAUUAAUUAUAAUACAAAAGUAUUAAUAUUAAAAAUAUUAUUAUUUGUAUUAUACAUAUUAUUAUUUUUAUUAUAAUUAAUAUUAUUCAUAUAAUAAUUAAUAAAUUUUGGAAAUUUAUUAUUAUUAUUAUUAUGAUUAAUAAAUUUUAAAAAUACUAUUAUUACUAUUGAAGAAAAACCAUUAUUUUUUUAAAGAUUUAAAAAUAUAAUUCAAAGUAUUCAUAUAAAAAAUAUAAUUAUUUGUAUUAUAAAUAUAAUUAUUUUUCUUAUAAUUCAAAGUAUUCAUAUCAAAAAAAUUAUUAUUUGUGUUAUAAAUAUAUUAUUUUAAUUAUAAUUCUAAGUAUUAAUAUAAAAAUAUUAUAAUUUGUGUUAUAAAUAUUCUUGAGUUUGUUAAUAUAAUUAUUUGUGUUAUAAAUAUUAUUAUAACAAAUAAUCAAAUGCCAAGCGCCCUAGGGCUGCAUCCAAGCAUGCGUGUCCGGUCAUAGCGCUCAAGGCUCGUCACACCCUUCGCCAGGUGUGUGCAUGCUGAGGCCUCGGCCAGCUAUAGCGCCAAGUGUUUGCUGCCUAGGGCCGCGACUAGGGGCGCGUGGCUGGCCCCAAAGCCCUGGCUUGGCUACCCAAGCACAAGGUGUCGACAGUCUAAUCUAAUUAAAUGUCGCCUCUGCCGCUGCAUCACUCCCAUCUUAAUGACAAAAGUCAAAUGAGCCACCCCAGUCGCAAUUCUUGACUAAAAACACAGGUAAGGAACGCCCCCCAAGGUGCUAUAGUGUCAUCCACAGUUCAUUGUAUCUUGGGCCACAGUGCAUGUACAGUAGAAAAUCCUAAUACGUGUUAAGACAUAGCAAAGCAACUAUGUAAGUUUUAAUACAUAGCAAAACAACUGUGCAAAUCCACAAUUAAUUGUCUCUUGGUCCACAGUGCAUGCAUGUACAGUAAGUCCACAAUGAAUUAUCUCUCAGUCCACAAUGUAUUCAUGUAUAGUAGAAAACCACGUGUUUUAGAGUUUUGUUAAUAAUAAAAAAAAACAAAAAUAAUUUUGGUUUGUUGUAUACGUCUCAAUCUUUACAUAACAUUGCAAUUUAUUAAUAAAAAGGAGGGGAAAAUGUUUUUAGCAUUGUUUUUUUUUUUCAUUUUGUAAUUUACAAUAAGUUGGCCAAUAUUUGGCCAAUAUUUCAAUAACUCUAAAAAUUUUAAUUCCUAAAAAUUAAAGGUCAACAUUAUGGUAUAAAUGUUAGACCUACCAGUAGGCUAGUAUUUAAGUACCAGAAGUUAACUAGAAAAUUUUCAGAAUUAUUUUGGAUAUUCAUCAUUUUUAAUUGUGAGUAUUUUUUCAUCACAAUAUAUGAGUUGUGGAAAACAUUUUCACCUUUCAGGAUAGGUGACUCCUGUCAAAGCACCUACAUGAAUUUUUUUUAUAAGAAUUUACCUAAACAUACGAGUCCAUAAUAAAUUUGAAAUGUCAUAUUUAUUUAUGGGCGUAAUUCCUUUUUCUGAGCCAUAAAUGGGCUACCGGUUAGGAACCCAUCAACACGUUUAAACCACAUCAUGACAACACAAUACAACUUUACUCAAGUAAGGAUGUUAAUGCCUUUUUCUAGCCAAUACUGGUCCCUUACCCUGAAAUUUCAGAUAAGAUCAGUUACUUGGGUCUUCUAAUGACUUUGAAAUCACAAAACUAGGUGCGGACUCCUUAAUCCCGAUGCUGCAACACCGCGCGCACAUAGGCGACACAAUUCAUGCUUGAUUAAUCAUCCAUGUGAAUUAUUAGGUUUCGAAUAUGUUGGCACAAAUAUAAAUCAUAAUCUUAUUCAAAACAAGAUUAAAUAAAUUAAGCAAUUUAAGUUACUAUCAAUCCAACAAAUUGAUAGAUUUAUAUUUAAAUAUCAAAUGCAAGAUACCAUGAUCUCUUAAAUCUUGUCCCAGUAUAAAAAAAAUGUGAGUAUAUGAACCCAUGAAGUGGUAUCAGAAUCUAUUUUCCUAUUAUUAUUAACUAAACGGAAAGCCAUAUCUUACUGCUUAUACUAUAAUAUUGGGAUUGAGUGGUACAAUGUCCAGAAUGCUUCUAAGGAUAACCAUAUGUCCAUAUCCAUAAGAUCUCAAUGGAUUGACCCUUACUACAGAAUCUAGCACAUCCUUAAGCUAGAAUAAAGUGCCUUCACUGAUUAAUCUAGCAUAUAUAUCUAAUUAUUUGAAAAUCUUUUCAAAUUUCAUUCCACCUUAUAUAAAGAUUUAAUACUUAAUAUUAUUUGAGAAUACAUAUAGAUUGCAAGCAUCGGCUUUUAGUGUACUUUUGAUGACAUGAAACUACCACAAAAUGGGUCCUAUCCGAGAGAGUGUUCUCUUUCUGUUCUGUUAUCACAUAGAACUGAAAUCUGUUCAGAGUACCCCUCCAAGAAAAUUGAUGCGGGCAGAAAGACAAUAAUAAAUACAGAAAAAACACAAGAAUUUUAAUGAGCGAAAUGGGCUGUUGAUGUGAACAUUAAGUUCACAGGUUUUAUUUUCUCUUAAAUAACAAUCAUCACUACAAGAUUUCACAGUUUUACUGACGGACCAAUUCCGUCGAUGUGUGAUUAGAAGUUCGUCGGUGAUUUUUUUACCGACGUCAUCACCGACGGAUUACGUCCGUCCGUCGGCAUUCCCUUCGUCGGUGAUUCCCCCUUCCAUCGCUAUAUCGAUUGGAAAAACAAAAAAAUCAUUUGCCGAUGGUUUUACAGAUGGAAUUUGCGCGCCAAAAAAAAAGAUUCCCGCUUGAAAUAUACCGACGGAUUUUUAUUCUGUCGGUGAUAUUGUAAUUGACCGACGGAAACUAUCCGUCGGUAAAUACGUCGGUGAGUGUAUGAAAUACCGAACGAAUAUAUUUGUCUGUAAAUUCGUCGGUACUGGUGGCAGUUACUGUUAAAUGCCGACGGAUUAAUUCCAUCGGUAAUUCUGUCAGUGAGUGUUUAAAAUACCGACCGAAUUAAUCCGUCGGUAAAAUCCUUGGUAAUAGUUUUUUUCUUAAUUUUUUUUAAAAAAACUAUUUAGGAUAUAUAAUAUAAAACUAUUUAAAUUAAUUGUAAUACAAACCAAUUAUGCAAAAAAAAAUUAUAUUAAACAUAAAAAAAACAAAGUUAAAUAAUAUUCAUUACAAACUGAAUAUGUUUCAAGAAAAAUAUUAAAUGAAGUUUUAAAGGUAAAUAAUGUUGAUUACAAAUUAAUAUAAAGGUGGAGCUGGAGGAGGAGGAGGAGGAGAUCCUGGAGGAGGCUGGUGAUUAUACGGCCAAAAAAGAUUAGGCGCACAUGUUCCACUAUUUGUCAUGUUCAUUAGCAUUUCGCGAAGUUGUUCAUAAGCCGCUUUUUGUUGUUCAUGAGCCGCUUCAUACUCCGUUUUUUGUUGUGCUUGAGACGCUUUGAGUUGCUCAGACUACGCUCUUUGUUCCGCUCUUUGUUGUGCAUGAGACGCUUUGAGUUGUGCGUACUCCGCUUUUAGGUGAUCGUAUUUCUCGGUGAGCUGAGCUGUGUGUUGCUGCAAGGCCACGAACUCCUUAGAUUGGGAGCUCGAUAUUGAUUGGGAGCUCCCAACGGUUGAAACACUACGGGUCGACCGCAAGUUGUCGGCCGUAGUGUUGGAGAGCCCGUAAACCCGAUUUUUAUCGGGUCCACUUGACAAGCCAACCUCCAUCCACAAAUCCGGAUCGAAUUUCGAAUGGGUCAAAAUAUUGUCCCCGUAUCUCUCCCUCAACCGAUUAUUAUAGGUCUCCUGAAAAUAAAAAUAAAAAAGUAAUCAUCAUAUUCAAUACAAUAAACAUAAUAACUUACAUAAUAACUUACAAAAUAAAAUGGUUGAACAAACAUACCACGAAAUGCUGAGCACGGUUAUCAACGAACUGUUGCGCCCCCUUCUGGCAGUCUUGACUCUGCACGUGCGUCUCCACAAACAGCUCCAUCGGGCUCAGCUUACGUCCAAGAGACGCAGCCUAUAAUGAAAAAAGAUAUAUUAACAACAACUGAAUUUAACGAUAUAUUUCAUUUAAAUUAAUCUUACCAUCCGUUUCGCAUGUGCAGCAAACGGAACGGAGCCGUCAGUGUGCGUUGUCACCCCGCCAUGAAUUGGCCGAUUCCGGUUGCCAGCACCGGACUGUGAGUGUCGUGUGAACCGUUCAGACGUCACGUGCUCAAGAUAGUGCGGCCAUAUAUCUUCCGGGAUGUAUAUCGGUUUGAAAUCCCUCCAAACCGCAACAUCGUUCCAGCCUUGGAAACCCCUAUCCCUCGCGGUUUUUUUUGCCUUUUUUUGUGCUUCAUACCAAAAAUCACGCAACCUACUUCACGCAACCAAAAAUUACAUUUCGAAACAUAAAUUUUUGGCUAAAAAAAAUCCUGUAUUGUUUUCGAUCUUACCUAGUUGCCGCGUGAUUUUCCCACACCCUCCUCACAACAGUGUUAUGCUCACUGUCCCAGCAGAAUUUGUGCUGUGUAUAAAUAAACAAGCUUAAAUAAAAAUAAUAAUUUAUUUACAAUUAUAUUAAUAAGCUGAAAAUUAUAAAUUAAUACCAACCUCAAACCUGUUAAACCAUGCAUUGAUUUGAGGCAUCCAUUCAGGAUGCUUGGAUAUCUGACUCCAUUGAAACAAUGGAAUCUCCAUCGACGAUUUAAACGCCGAUGAUAUUACUCGGGCGGCUUCAAUGUUUGUGAACCUGAAAAUAAAUGAAAUAAAUUCAAUAGUGAUUACUUCAUAAAUUAUGUUGUAAUUUUUUUAAAAAAAAACUAAAACCUUAACAAACUUACAUUGAAAGGUCGUCCUUCCAUUGUGCCUCGUACUUGCGGGUAAAUUGAUUCCGCUGCGAAGGCACGCCGUCUCUGCGCUAUGAAGUACCGCUAGAAGAGGCAGCAUCGGUUGACGGCGCAGGUGGUGUAGGUGCCUCUUCUUGAGAGGCACCUAAGGAAAUAUCAUCAUCGCUGCUAGACGAACUAGCUGUGACCGUACUUGAGCGACCAGCUCUGGUUUUCGUUCUACGCAUCUACACAAUUUGAUACAAAUAAUUAUAUAAUUAAAUUCAAAUGUAAAAAAAAAAUUUGACAGCACCUCCCCUAUACCGGAUACUACCCAAAUCCACAAACAUGCACAUAUUAACAAUAGCCACAACCAAUUUACCCAAUCUAUACUAAUUAUUCCAACAUAUUCAAUUACUAAUCCUAAGGUAAAUUCAACAUUAAGAAUUACAAUUCAAGUAAUUAUUCAAUAAUUAUACCAAUAUAACAAAACAAUAAAUUAAAAAAAAAACUCUAGAAUAACAAUCAAAAUAAAUGGAAAAAAUUAAACACAAAGCAUGCAAUAAUAGAGUAAAACUAAUAAUUAUUCCAACAUAUUCAAUUACUAAUUCUAAAAUAAAUUCAACAUUAAGAAUUACAAUUCAACAAAUUAUUCAAUAAUUAUGCCAAUACAACAAAACAAUAAAUUAAAAAAAAACUCUAGAAUAACAAUCAAAAUAAAUGGAAAAAAUUAAACACAAAUCAUGCAAUAAUAAAGUAAAAUUAAUAAUUAUUCCAACAUAUUCAAUUACUAAUUCUAUGGUAAAUUCAACAUUAACAAUAAAUAUUCAACAAAUUAACUAAUAAUAAUUAUGCCAAUACAACAAUAAAAAAUAUUCAGUAAAUUUAAAAAAAAAACUAUAGACUUUAGCAAUGAAUUAUGCAAAAAAAACUAUAGACUUUAUCUACAUUACAAAAAAUACACCAAAAAAAAAAACUAACCAAAAAAAUAGCAAAAAAAAACCAUUAGAAGAAACACUAACCUUUUAAACUGAUGGAGAUUCACGAUAAAAAAAGCUUGAGAUCGCCUGAAGAACGGAGAGAAGAACGGAGAGGAAAAGAAUGGUGAAAAACUGAGGAGAAGAGAAAAUGAACUGAAGAGGCGGUCGGGGGAGUUUAAAUGCCAAUUUUACCGACGGAUUCACCGACGUCUAUAAAAUUAAUUAUUAUUUUAAUUUAUUCCGUCGGUGAGGUGUUAAAAAUCCGUCGGUAAAUUUUGAAUUUCGCACCAAAUUUUUUAAUGGCCCUCUAUAUUUUUCGCAGUCCGUGGCAAAUCCGUCGGCAAUCUGACGCGGUCAGAGAUGCAUUUAAUGCACAACCCUUUGAUAUUCGCGCAGUCCGUCGGGAAUUGUGUCGGUAAAAUUGACAACGUACCGACGACUAUAUAUUCGUCGGUGUGGUCGUCGAUGAUAUGGUGGCAUUACCAGUAAUUAUUUUCGAACUCUCUGUGAAAUGCCGACGGAAUUAAGUCCGUCGGUGUGGUCGUCGGUGAUGUGGUGGCAUUUCAAGUAAUUAUUUCCUGUCACAAAAUAUAUCAUCCAUGAUCAAUAAUUAUUUCAAGUAAUUAUUUCGUAAUUGUGGCAUUUCAACUAAUUAUUUCAAGUAAUAAAUAUUUUGUGUUUCAAAAUAUAUCAUCCAUAAUCUAAAUUACAUGAAAAAAAGGGUUUUACAUAGGGCUUCAUUUUGGUAGUUAGUCAGAAUUUUCUUCUUCUUCGUCAUCAAUUGAAUUGUCAUCACCUUCAUCGCAAUCUUCAACAUGAAUAUCAUCUUCUUCAUCGACAUUUGCUUGUCCGCUAGAGCUCAAAACAAAAUUCAACUCCUCUGCAUCAACAUCAACAUGACUAUCAUCGAAAACACGAAAAUUUGAAUUUUCUUCCAAUUCAAUCGAAGGAGUAACUCGAUAUGGUUCAACCACCUCACUAACUUGAAAGACUUCAUCUCGCACACUUGUGUCUUCAUUCUCAUCCUGAACAACCUCGACACGACCCCGGGGUUUUGUUUUUAAAACGGACAACCAAUCCACUCUUGAUCGAUCCUUUCUAAAUGAAGGGGUGUAUGUGUAAUAAACUUGUUGACAUUGCUUUGCGAAAACAAAGACAUCGUUUAUGUUGCGGAGUCUAGCUUUUGAGUUGAUUUCGACCAGACCAUAGUGCGGAUCAACUCUGAUUCCUCUGUCAGUCGUGUCAUACCAAUAGCAUUUGAAUAAAAACACUAUAUUCUGCUCGUCAUGAUAUUGUAGUUCGACGACCUCUUCUAAUCUACCAUAGUAGUCAACUUCUAACUCACUACUAGUGGAUCCCUUAACACAAACACCGCUGUUGUAUGUCUUUCUUCCUUGCCCGUAUUCUUCAGUAUGGAAAACAUAUCCAUUGACAAAAUACCCGUUGUAGCACUUACAUUUUCUUUCAAGCCCCAGGCUUAGUGAAGACAAUGACUUAGGUGCACUCCUUCCCAUUUGAUAAACCUUGUAUGUAAUGUACAUCAAUAAAUAGUAAAUGAACGAGAAUCUCGUAAUGACAUGCAUACGUACAGUAAUUUUGCAAGUUAGAAUGAGUUUGUGAUAGUGCUUACAUGUGUUCUGAACCACGUGGCAAACUGCUCAUCUUGUAAUUGAAAGAUCUGGGAUUCGGUCAGCUGUGAGUUAUUGGAGAGCAAAUAUUGACGAUGUUGCCUGCAAGUGAUAAUGAGUGUAUGAUAUUACAAUAUAUAAUUAACAGUAUAUUACUAACAAAGUUUAAUUAGUAUAAACUUACUGAAUAAAAGGUCUCAGCUCAUCACACUUAAAUAGAACAUAGUUGUGUGCUUGUUUGAACUCUAUUUCCGACAAAUAUCUUCCUCUUACGGCAUUUUUAUGUGUGGGUCAUCCAGUAUUGGAGAAUAUUGACAAGUUCCCACUGGAUGGCACUUCACCGCCAUCAUCAUGCCGUGGACCGCGAUUGAUUCUCGUUCUCAGAUGAGGUUCGAAAUAGUACGAGAUAAAUGUUGAGAUCUCCUCAACAAUAUAGGCCUCACAUAUCGAAGCCUCAACAUGCGCCUUGUUCUUAACCUUUUUCUUGAGAUUAAACAAGUACCUGCAUUGAAAUAUUAAUCAAGUAUUUUCAAUUAAGAAAAACAUAUAAAAUACUUUUAUAUAUGAAUUACAUUGCAACUGUAAUAUCUAACCGUUCGAAUGGGUACAUCCAUCUAUAUUGGAUCGGACCUCCAGCUUUUGCCUCGAACGGUAGAUGUAUAGGGAGAUGCUCCAUUGAGUCAAAAAAUGAUGGAGGGAAUAUCAUCUCAAGUUUGCAUAGUGUCUCGACGAUAUUCGUUUGAAGCCUCUCAAUGUGAUCAACAUUCAACUUGCUGGAGCAUAUAUCUCUGAAGAAAUGACUAAUCUCCGUGAGUGCAUCCCAUAUUCCCUUUGGCAACAAAUCACGAAAAGCUAAUGGGAUGAGUGUUUGCAUAAACACGUGGCAGUCAUGACUCUUCAUUCCAUACAAUCUGCAGUCCUCUAUAUUAACCAGCCUUGAUAUGUUCGAUGCAUGUCCAUCCGGAAAACGCAGACUCUUAAGUCAUUUGUAGACUAGCAGUUGUGCGUUUUUCUCUAACACGAAGCUUGCUCUUGGUUUUGCAACCCGUGACUCAUCAUAAACCAACUCCAUAUUUUUACGGUUACAGUAUAAAGCUAUAUUCAAUCUAGCCUUGAUGUUGUCCUUUGUCUUCCCCUUCACAUCCAUGACGGUGUUGAAAAUGUUCUCAAACAUGUUCUUUUCGAUGUGCAUGACGUCAAGGUUAUGGCGGAGCAGAUUGGUCUUCCAAUAAGGAAGCUCCAAAAAGAUACUUCGCUUUACCCAAUUAUGGGUCAAACCAAAACCAGGAAACUUUUGCUUACCUGAUUGAAGGCCAAACACAAUGUCACCGUACUCUGAGACAACAUCAUGCAAUUCUUCACUAGAAAGACGCAGGGAUGCAACAUCUUUUUCAACUCUGCCAACAAAGAAAUCUUUUUUGUUCUUUCUGUACCUGUGAUGAAGUGGCAAGAAGCGACGGUGACAGUAAAAAAAAGAAGCUUUACCUCCAUUUGCUAGCGUGAAUGCCUUGUUGUUUUCCAUGCAGUAUGGACAUGCGAGUUUCCCAUGCGUGCUCCAACCAGAAAGCAUUCCAUAAGCUGGAAAAUCAUUGAUAGUCCACAUCAAUGCCGCCCUCAUAAGGAAAUUUUGUUUCCUCGAUAUAUCAUAAGUCAGAGCUCCGGAGGACCACAACUGCGCCAACUCAUCAAUCAACGGUCGAAGACAAACAUCUAUAUUCCGCCCCGGGCUUCUUGGACCGGGUAUGACAGUAGAUAAAAACAUGAACUCCGGCCUCAUACACAUUCCCGGUGGCAAGUUAUAAACUGUGAGUAUGACCGGCCAACAAGAAUAAGGAGCAGCAAAUGACCCAAAUGGGUUGAAUCCGUCUGUACACAACCCAAGACGCACAUUCCUUGAUUCAGCUGAAAAGUGAGGAUGAACACUGUUAAAGCGUUUCCACGCUUCGCCGUCAAAAGGAUGAACCAUCACUCCAUCAACCGCAUGGUGUGCUUGGUGUCAUGUCAUGUGCUCAGUAGUCCUUGGUGACAUGAAUAACCUCUGCAGUCUAGGUGUGAUCGGGAAGUAUCUAAGUUUUUUAUAUGCCACUAGAGUCUUUUCCCUGCUAGUUCUAGGUUUGUAACGGGAAUGCCCGCAUGUCAUGCACUUGGUCAUCUCAGCAUUUUCAAGGUAGUAUAACAUGCAGAAGUUAGGGCACAUGUCAAUUUUUUGGUAUCCUAAACCGAGGGGUUUCAUCAUGGACUUCGCAGCAUAGAAGUUCUCUUUCAGCCUGUUCCCUUCAGGUAAAAUGCUUCUCGCCCAUUCAAUAAUCUUGUCAUACUCGGCCUCACUCAACCCGUGAUCUGACUUGAUGGUGAACAUUUGUGCUACGACCGAUAAUUUACUGUGGUUCGUGCAGCCAUCCCAUAAUGGUUCGUUAGAAUCUUUCAACAAAUCAAAAAACCUAGCUGCAUCUGCAUUAGGUUCUUCUUCUACGAUUGGACAUUGACUGCCAUUACCUUGAUUCAUUCUCAUUGCAUCCAUAACCAUAUUUCUGUAAGGAUAAGUGUUGUCAUUUGCCGCUUCAUGCACGUUGCUAGCACUAGAAGUAGACCCAACCACCAUUUCUUCCAUUCUCCUCUUACUACCAAAUACUUCUCCAUAUGCAUACCAACACUGGUAAUUCUCCAUAAACCCUUUGUGUAGAAGAUGCAUCAUUACAACAUCUGGAUGCAGAUACUUUUUAUUUUCACACUUCCUGCAUGGACACCUAAUACCGCCUCCAAUAAAAUUUCUAGGAAUAGAUGUUGCGAAAUUAAUAAAACCCUGAACCCCGUUACAAUAAUCCAUCCUCCGCAAUCCUUGGGGUGAAUCUCGAUACAUCCAUGAACGAUCAUCCAUGACUUAUAUCGAACCUCUAUAAAAUUAUGAUGACAUCAUGUAUUAAUUAACUAAGUUAGGUAAAUAAACUUGCAAAAAUAUUACUUUACCUCGAGAUUAUCCAACAAACCAAUCACAACUUCUCAUAAAUAUUAAAUAUUCAUUAUUAUUUAUCAACGUCCAUACGAAUUAAAAUAUAUAAAUUUACAGAAAUUACCACUCCGCAAUACCAUUGAUAAAACUUUAAACGGACCCAUUAAGCAAGCUAUUAAUUAUUUCAAAAUAGCACAUGUAAUUCAUAUACUAACAAAAUACAUUUACUAAAAAAACAAUAAAAUUCACAUUUAAUUAAAUGUUAAAAUUUAAAAAGAUAGAAUUACUUACAAAAAUUGAUAAAAUCCAUCGGUAAAUCAGAACACGGAUGCUGUGACCACAAAACUUCAAGAAAUAUAACUUGUUGUGCUGAUAUGAGGAAGAUUUUUUUUUGGGGGGGGAGGGGGGGCUGGUUGUUUGCAGAUGGGGAGAGUUGGGAUUAGGAAGAAGAAGGAGAAAUAGGGGAGGAGAGGGUCAGCAGAGCUGACAUGUAUAUAUAUUAACUUUUUCCAACGGUUUCACCGACGGACACUCCAUCGGUGAUUCUGACGGACACAUAGACACGUCACCAUACGGAUCUGCCAUUUCAAAUCCCUCGGUGAGUCCGUCGGCAAUUUAAACGGCGAACCGGUCACGUCACUGUACGGGCUGUCGUUUUGAUUUCGUCGGAACAAAAUAACCCGCCAAAACCUCCACGUCAGUGACCCGCCUUUUUUUUAAAUUCGGAAACUUUUUCGUCCGUAAUUCAGUCGGUAACUACCGACGGAAAUUUUCCGUCUGUAGUUACCGACUGAAUUACGGACGGAAAAUGGUCCGUCGGUAGUUACCGACUGAAUGACAGACGGAAAAGUGUCUGUCGGUAAUUUCGACCUCAAAUUACCGACAUAAAUAUUUCGUCUGUAAAUCCGUUGGUAUUUAACGAAUUUCUGGUAGUGGAACUAAGCAUAUUGAGAUCGAUUAUCAUCUUACUCGUCAUCAUCUCAAGCAUGGAACCAUUGCUUUGCCUUUUGUUCCUUCUUCCUUGUAGAUUGCAGAUUUCUUUACCAAGGCGCAUUUCAUCUCUCGUUUUCAUUUUCUGGUUGGCAAACUCUCAAUGCUUGUAGCUGCCGCAUCGUGAGUUUAAGGGAAGAUGUUAAAUAACAUUUAUGUAGUCUUGUUUAUUAAGGGUAGAAUAUUACUUUCAGUUUAACCUAUAUAUACUUUAUUUGUUUUUAGGUUAAGACUAAGCACUCAUAAUAUACAGAUUAUUCAGAAUUCUAGCCUCCCUUUUGUGUUUGAUCUUAAUUCAUUUUAACAAUGCUAUUUGUUGAAGUUGUUGCCAGCCUUCAAAAGGUCACUCGAUCUCAUUUUAGAAACUGAUUUCUCAAACAUGGAAACCUGGAAUCUCAAAAUCUUCUUAAUCAGUACAUUCCUAGUGAACAAGUAUGUCAAGGAGAAAUAAAAGGAUUGUCAAUGCAUUUUUCCAGACUAAAGUUGAGUUUAAGGACAUUCAAAAAGGUACAGUUUGCAAGGCCCGGGGGGAUUUCCCCUGAGAAAUUGUUGGAAGAGAGGUAGAGAGACGUGGCAUACUGAAUUAUUUUAGAGAUAUUUUGUGGAAUAGAUCCAAAGAGCUCAUUGCUGGAGAGAUCUAUGCCCGUUAUGCUUGUGCAGUGUUUAAGGCCAAGAGGGAACCUGCCCUUGAGACCCAUAUCCGGAAGUCUGAUAUUCAACACCCUAUUCUCACUAGGAUCGAUGCCACCAUUCAACCCCCAAAAAGGUACAAAUGAAUCCUUCAGUAGAAUUCUCAAAGUUCCAAGAAGAGUUCGAGUAAUUAUCAGGGAAAGGUUUAGCCAGGUUGAGCAACAAUAGUGGUCACGGCUGCAACAAAGUUGUCACUGGCAGCAGCGUUGUGGGCAACAAUGUUGCUGGCACGAGUCAUGAACGUUUCUGUCCAUGAUGGUUAAUUCCUUGAGAUUGUUGGUAAGGACACAAUGGAGGAACAACAUUAAAGAUACUAUCUUUAAAGAUAUUUCCUCUAAAAAAAAAUUAUAUUUAAAAAUUAUUAUUAUAAACAAAAAACACUCAAAAAGUAUAGGUUUUACCUCGUAUAUAAAGGAAACAAAGAUUUUUUUCUUGCUCAACCCAACCUUAAACCUAUUAGAUUUAAAUAUUUCAACUUAAAAAAAAAUAUUAUACAUUUAAUUGGAAUAAAAAUCUUUUAAAUAACUUCUCAAAUUAUAUUAUAUUAUUUACAACAAAUUUUUCAAACCAUUGCAGUAAUUACAAUUCAAAUUAAAUUAUAAAUUAUUAAAUAUUAUUUUAAUAUAUUUUUAAAUAAAAAACAUUUUAAAAAAUAAAAAAAUACUCCUGAUAUACCCUGCUAUGCAGCUCUGCCGCUUGGAAAAUGAGCUAGAAAAGGUUACGGGAGGAGAAAGCAAUGCAAAUUCAUUUGAACAGCCUCCAUGAUUUUCAUUUUUGCAAUUAAUAGAAAAUUUAAAAUAAUUAUGAAAAAUCAAUGUAACUUCCCUCAUAUAUAUAUAUAUAUAUAUAUAUAUAUAUAUAUAUAUAUAUAUAUAUAUAUAUAUAUAAUCCGGGAUGUUCGGGUCAGCUUACGCGUACCACGAUUUAUUUUUGGAUCCANNNNNNNNNNNNNNNNNNNNNNNNNNNNNNNNNNNNNNNNNNNNNNNNNNNNNNNNNNNNNNNNNNNNNNNNNNNNNNNNNNNNNNNNNNNNNNNNNNNNAUUCUUCAAGGAUAGUUUAAUGUUUUAAAAGUAUAAAAUUUAAAAGAAAUUUUAAAAAAGUAAUUAGGAUUUCUGUUUUGAAUACUUCAAGUAUAAUUCAAACUUUUAAAUUUACAAAAUUUAAAAGAAAUUUUAAAAAAGUAAAUAGAAUUUCUGUUUUGGAUUCUUCAUGGAUUGUUUAAAUGUAUUAAAAUUAUAAAAUUUAAAAGGAAUUUAAAAAAAGUAAUUAGGAUUUCUGUUUUGGAUUCUUCAAGGAUAGUUAAAAGAUUUAAAAUUAUAAAAUUUAAAAGAAUUUAAAAAAAGGAAUUAUGAUUUCUGUUUUUGAUUUUUCAAUGAUAAUUAAAAGUUUUAAAAUUAUAAAAUUUAAAAGAAUUUAAAAAAAGGAAUUAGGAUUUCUGUUUUGGAUUCUUCAAGGAUAGUUUAAAUGUUUUAAAAGUAUAAAAUUUAAAAGAAAUUUUAAAAAAGUAAUUAGGAUUUCUGUUUUGAAUACUUCAAGUAUAAUUCAAACUUUUAAAUUUACAAAAUUUAAAAGAAAUUUUAAAAAAGUAAAUAGAAUUUCUGUUUUGGAUUCUUCAUGGAUUGUUUAAAUGUAUUAAAAUUAUAAAAUUUAAAAGAAAUUUAAAAAAAGUAAUUAGGAUUUUUGUUUUGGAUUCUUCAAGGAUAGUUAAAAUAUUUAAAAUUAUAAAAUUUAAAAGCAUUUAUAAAAAGUAAUUAGGAUUUCUGUUUUGGAUUCUUCAAGGAUAGUUAAAAGAUUUAAAAUUAUAAAAUUUAAAAGAAUUUAAAAAAAGGAAUUUGGAUUUCUGUUUUGGAUUCUUCAAGGAUAGUUUAAAUAUUUUAAAAGUAUAAAAUUUAAAAUAAAUUUAAAAAAAAUAAUUAGGAUUUCUGUUUUGGAUUUUUCAAGGAUAAUUAAAAGUUUUAAAAUUAUAAAAUUUAAAAGAAUUUAAAAAAAGGAAUUAGGAUUUCUGUUUUGGAUUCUUCAAGGAUAGUUUAAAUGUUUUAAAAGUAUAAAAUUUAAAAGAAAUUUAAAAACCAAAUUAUGAUUUUUGUUUUGGAUUCUUCAAGGAUAGUUUAAAUGUUUUAAAAGUAUAAAAUUUGAGAGAAAUUUUGCAAAAGUAAUUAGGAUUUCUGUUUUGAAUACGUCAAGUAUAAUUCAAACUUGGAAAUUUACGAAAUUUGAAAGAAAUUUUGAAAAAGUAAAUAGGAUUUCUGUUUUGGAUUCUUCAUGGAUUGUUUAAAUGUAUUCCAAAUAUAAAAUUUAAAAGAAAGUUUAAAAAAGUAAUUAGGAUUUCUGUUUUGGAUUCUUCAAGGAUAGUUUAAAUGUUUUAAAAGUAUAAAAUUUAAAAGAAAUUUUAACAAAAUGACUAUGAUUUCUGUUUUGGAUUUUUCAAUGAUAAUUAAAAGUGUUAAGAAUUAUAAAAUUUAAAAGAAAUUUAUAAAAAGUAAUUAGGAUUUCUGUUUUGGAUUCUUGCAAAGAUAGUUAAAAGAUUUAAAAUUAUAAAAUUUAAAAAAAGAAAUUAGGAUUUCUGUAAACCCCCGUAAAUAAAAAUAAAUAAUAAUAAUAAUAAAAAAAACACAUAGGAUCGAAGUAAUGACAUUUCGAUGAGUAAUGGAUAUUCGGUAUGAAAGAAAUGAAUAAAUAGUAGGGAUGACAAUAAAUGUGUCAUGUGAGAGAGAGAAUGAUCUCCAUAAACAAAUUUAAAGAUAUUGUUGAAGUCGAAAAGAGAGUCAUGAUUUUUAGUUUAAAACUUGUAACGUUAGCGAAACUAGUGACGAGUUUUAAUGGAUAAAAGAAUAAGAAAAAAAAAACCAGAAGAUAUGUAAACCCGGGUCAAAACACGUAUUUUGACAAAUUAAUGAUAAAUGUGGUAAUAUUGAAUUUAUUGAGUAUAAAUUAAGAGGAAAUGUCACGAGGAUCUAAGUAAAUAAAUUAAUGCGUGAAAUUCAGAUUUUAGCGUAAAAGACAUUGAUUGUCUAGUUUUACGGUAUCGAUGAUAUAUCUCAAUCCGACCGUUGGAUCGGGCUGAAAUUUUAUAAGGAAUCUCCAGACAUAUUAUUUUAUAUUAGGUUCAAAUUUCGUGUCAAUCGGAGUUUGGGAAGGAUUUGCGAGAGCACUGAAAAUCGGGUAAAUUGAAGAAGAUGACACAAAGGGCAUUAAUAAGGGCUUUUUUGUAAUUUUAUCAAAACAAAUACUCUCCUCUCCUCUCUUUAAAAACAGAGCACGUCCUCUGCAAAUGGAAAAACAGGAGGGAGACCAUUUGUUUUGUCCCAUUUUCUUCAUUUUCUCUUCAUUUCUUCAAGCUAAAUCAAAAGGGAGUGUGCUUAGGAGGAUUAUAUCCAAGAAAACAAAUUAAAUGACAACUUAGAGAGUUAUAGAGCUUGAGAGAAACAAAGAGAAGAAGCUGGAAAUUGGAAGAGGAGGACAUGAUUUUUGUAAAUUUUUGCAAGAAUUCAUUGAAAUAAGUUAAAGUAGCAAAGGUAAGCAACAUACCCUUUAGUAAUUUCGUUUUUCUCUCUUGUUCUUGCAUGAGGAGAAGAAAACCUCCAAGUUUAAAAUUCUAGGGUUCAUGUAAAUAUUUUGGGGGAGUAAUUGUUCAUGUGAAUUUCAAGAUUAAUUGCAUGAUAAUGGCUUGAUUUGCUGAAAAAUAGAAGGAAUAAAUUGAUUUGAAACUAUGGGUUUUGGGAUUGCAACAGGGCAGGAACUUCGGCAGCCAUAUUUUGACUUUGCACCGUUGGAUUAGAUUGAAUUUUGGAUAUGUUAUUAUACUCAAUGUCACCUACAUUCUGACCGGAGGGAUUGCAAAUAUCCGAUUUCGUUUGAGGGCUGUCACCGGAGGAACAUUUCUGGAAAAUCACCCUUCAAGACAGCUUUGUUCGUCGGCCGUUAUAUCAUCGUUUCACCGUUGGAUUGGUCUGGAUUUUGGACAUGUUAUUCAUCCAGAUGUUAUAUAAAUUCUGAACGGUUUGGAUCGGAAAAGAACACUCCUACCAGAAAUUAUACUUCCCGAACAGCAGGUCUCCAAAUUUCAGGUCAGUCCAGUAUUGUUCUGAUAUCGGGAGGUUUAACCGUUGGAUGUAUGUUAAUUUUGGAUAUGUUAUUCGAAUGAUGAUGAUGUAUAAUUCCACCGUUUGGAUUUAUUGAAUUCUAAAUUUACAGAAUGAUGUUUUAAGUUUGGUUUGAGAAAUAUUGAAUGAGAAUAUGAGGUUUAGCAUAAAAAGUAUGUUUUGGGACUAAGGAUAAUGGCAAUGGGUUUAAUGAUGAUGGUUGUGUUUGUGUUAUGUUUGAGUCAUGUUUGAUGUGUUGAUAAGUGAUGAUAUAGUUAAAUUCUAUAAAGAAUAGUGAUUGACUAAUACUUUGGUUGUGUUAGAAUGGGAAAUCAUGUUGUAAAUUUUGACCAAAACCAUAGCAGGGUAUGACCCCCAGGGUGUAUGGCUGCUGGGUUUGGCUGUGCAACCAUACCCAAUAUCCUUGGGUAUGGUUGCGCAGCCAAACCCAACACCUUUGGAGGGUAUUGGGUCCUGCACCUGAUCAAAAUAGCUAUAGUAUAAGUAAUCCAUCCUAGGGACAUCGGCAUAGGAAGAUUGAAAAAAAAAAAACAAAACGAUUGAUUUCCUUUGGUAGAUGGAUUGGAAAUCCAUGUUAUCACGUAUGUGAGAAUUCAACCCCCCGUACCUCUCUAUAUCUCUGUACAUCGUAAAUAUAUAUAUAUAUAUCUUUUUCACUACAGUAUAACACCACCAUUGAAUAUUAAUGCAAGAUCAUUGAUCAAUAAGGACGACUGGCUUCCAGACCCACCAACCAUACCCAAUUAAAUUUCUUUGUCGUUGCCUUCUCUGAUUUAAAUUUAUGUUUCAAAAUAAAUUGAUGAGAUUUUUUUUUAUAUUGUAUAAAAGUUGAGUGAUAAUAGUUUUUCCCAUUUUAGGUUGGGUUGAAUUUCCUAAUUAAAUCAUGUCUGAUUUUGCAUUUCGAAAAUUCCUUGAAAAGUUUUUGAUAAUUUUUAAGUUUUUUUUCUUUGCUUGAAAUUAAUAUUUUUGUUAUGCUUUUGUAUUUUUUUUUUUAAAAUAUGUUGAGAUUAUGUCUGGCUGCGAUGCCAAACCCAAGAAAUUUUAAAAUUUUUAAUUUUUUUCUUUACUUCAAAAUAUUAUUUUCUCCAUGUUUUUGUAUUAUUUUUUAAAUAUUUUUUUUAAAAAUAUAUUGAGAUUGUGUCUGGUUGAGAGGCGAGACUCAAGAAAUUAAAAAAAAAUUAUUUUUUUCUUUACUUCAAAUUAAUUUUCGUUUGAUAUUUUUUUCUUCACUUCAAAUUAUUUAGAUCAUGUUUGAUUUUGCAUUUCAAAAAUUCUUUGAAAUUGUUUUGACAAUUUUGAAGUUUUUUUUCUUUACUUCAAAUUAAUUUUUUUUUUAUGUUUUUGUUUUUUUUUAAAUGUUGGCAUUGUGUUUGUCUGCGAUGCUAGACCCAAGAAAUUUUCAAAUUUUAAUUUUUUUCUUUCCUUCAAAAUAAUAUUUUUUUUCAUGUUUUUAUAUUUUUUUUAAAAUAUAUAUUUUAAAAAAAUAUUGAGAUUUUGUCUGGCUUGUUUUUGGGGCCUCUAAACCCAAGGGCAGUUAGAACAGACCUCGACGGUGGGUCUGCACCCAGCGCACUGGUCCAGAGGCCAGGAGCGCGGGGUUGCAGACCCUGCCUCGCGGGUCUGCAAACCCUAGGGUCGCAAGGUUGCACACUCGCUCGCACUGGAAUGCAGCCAGGCGCGCGGGUCUGCCCUACCACCUAAGGCAUGGCAGGCCCCGUGCCAGGUGUCUGCAUGCUAGGGCCUUGGCCAACCCUUGUGCCAAGUGGCAGCAGCCUAGAGCACGAGCAGGCGCACGUGGUCUGCCCCACUCCCAGGCCUGACAGCCUAAGCGCCAAGUGUCCCCAGCCUUAUGGGUUGUGCGUCCAGCGAGGCACUUGGGGCCUACACUAAUAUUUUUUUCAAAAAUUAUUUUUUAACAAUAAUAAUAAUAAUAAUAAUAUUUGUUAUUAUAUUUUUUUUUUGCAAUUUCCUUCUAUUUUUAAUAUUAAUACAAAUAAUAAUAUUUAUUAAUAAUAUUUUUUUUAACAUUCAAAGAAAUUAAAAAUAAAAAUAUUUAGAAUAAAAAUAAAAAUAUUUAGACUACAAAUAAUAAUAUUUAUCACAUAUAUAUAUAUAUAUAUAUAUAUAUAUAUAUAUAUAUAUAUAUAUAUAUAUAGCCGGAAGAAAUUAGAAAAAUAAUAGGAGUCUGGAGCGGUCAGAAAAUGGUUAGAAAAAUUGAUUAAGGAGGUUAAAAAAUACAAAGAUUGAAAUUUUGACAAUAUAUACUUGAAUGAUGAGAGCCCUGUUGGAAAAGAAAAUUCAAUUUGAGGAGAAAAGUACAAAAUUAGAUGUUUAUGGACUCAAUUGGAUUUUAUUGAAGGUUUAAUUGAAUUUAUAGAGGGUUUGAUUGCAAGAAAAAUUGUUUUUUAAGUCAAUUUGGGCUUUAAUUGGAAGAAAUUAAAGUUCUGGGGUCAAAUUAUAAUUUUUAAGAGUUGAUUUGGUCAAAUUAGGGGCUUAAUUGCAUAAAUAUUGAAGUUUGAUGGCCAAUUAGGGACUUAAUUGAAGAAAUCCGAAACCAAGGACCAAACUAGAAAAGGCGCGUAAAUAGAGGGGCUGUAAUUAACCAAAUCAGGGCUUAAAUUAAAGAAAUUGGAAGUUUAUUGAUCAAUUGAGGGUCAAAUUGUAUAAAUCGGAAACCAAGGACGAAAGUGGAAAAGGCGGCCAACUAUAAGGGCGGCGAUUGAAGUUGGCAGGGAUUCAAUUGAAAUGAACAAAAGAUAAAUUAAGGACUGAUUUGGAAGUUGACGUGUUGGCGCCAUAUUUAAAUGAAACGGCGCGUUUUGUCCAAAACGACGCCGUUUCAUGUUGAAAAAAAAUAUAACAGAACGGUGUCGUUUUGAGAGACACUGUUCCUCCUUCUUCUUCCCCUGGACGCGCAGCAGGGGAAGAAAGAAACUUUUGUUUUUUCUUCUUUAAUUCUUCAUGCCUAUCUCCCUCCCCGCGUGCUUUGCCAAACAUCCGAAGCCCGAUGCCCCCUCAUAAUGAGAAACUAGCAAAGACGUGCCCAGCAAACCGAGCCCGUUGGUCACCUCAACCGGCGUCGUGACAGGGCAGUAAAGCCCUGCUCCCCAUGCGCAGCAAUAGGGCGGCAAUAGGGAUGCCCCCGCUCCCUUUGCCCUAUAUAUACCACCCAACGCCAGCACAUGACAAAAAAAAGACAGAGGACGAAAAAGAAAACGAGAGGAAAAGAAAAGGAAAGCAGACGGUGGAGAGAGAGAGAGAGAGAGAGGAAGACGAGUUUGAAACAGGGGAGGGUUUGAGAGUAAAAAAAAACAGACAGAGAGGAACAAAAAGAAAGGUAAACAUAGCAGCAGAAGAGGAAAGAAAACGAAGGAGAAGGGAAGAGCAGUAACCUCUCGCUCCGCCGUUUGUAACAGCGACACCGCCACCGGCCUCCACCGCAGCACCGCCAGCGAAGCAGCCAGACCAGCAAGGCACCUCCUCCUCCGCGUCAGGUAACUUUUCUUUCCCCUCCCUUUUUACUUCAUUUUGGGCAUAAGUUUCUCCUGCAUGCAGAAUGAAUAGCGUUCUGCAUGCAGGAGGAGGAGGAGAGGGGGAAAAUAAUUCCCCCUCCCUGUUUUUUCUUUCUGGGCCAGGCCGGUUCUGGCCCAGCCCUUAUGUCUGGGCCGGGUCCGGCCCGGACCCAAAGAAGCAGAGAGAACUGUUGGGCCGAGAUCGGCCUAACCCUUUUGGGCUGAGGCCGGCCCAGUUAACUGGGCGACCCAGCCCACACAAUUAUAAUAUUAUAUAUUAUAGUAUAUUAUAUUAUAUAUAUAUAUAUAUAUAUAUAUAAUUUUUUAAAAAACAAAUUCUAAAAAAUCCUUAAAAAUUUUGUUGAUUUUUCUGCAUAUUUUUUUUAUCAAAAUUAUUUAAUACUAGUUUGUAUUUUUAUACCGUAAAGAUACAGAUCCAGUAUUAAAACAUCCGGUUUUCGUCAAAACAUUGCAAAAAAUUUAUAUAAAAUAAAAAAAUAUUUUGUUUUUCAUGCAUACGGCCAAGUAUUUCAAAGAUAAGAAAAAUCAUCACAUCGUAUUUUCAUACAAAAAAAAAUCAUAUUGUUUUUUUAUACAUAAAACACAAAAUAUUCAAAAAUAUGUUUUAGCAUGCACUUUGGCUUUAAUAACAAGUUUGUUAGAGCCAUGAGAACUAGGCCAAUAUUUCAAAAAUUCUAAAAAAAUAUUUUUGUCUUCUUUUAGUAUCUGGGAUUACGAAUUUAUACGUAAAACGUAUUCCUGAUAUUAAAAAUGUAGUUUUCUUAUAUAGGCGUUAGAACGGUUAGAUUUUUACCCGAUAAGAUAAGGACCUCUUUACUGAGGAGGACUUUUCUUGAACUAUAGACGGACCAACAAUUAGAAAUACAAUAGCACCUUAGCUUUUUAUCAGACAAUCAAACAAUGCAGCUUACCUUAGGUAAGGCGUAUUUGGGGUGCUAAUACCUUCUCUUUAUGCAAUCAAUCCCCGUACUCGAUCUCUGAGACCAGUUAGAGUUCCUAGUGACCAAAAUACUAGGUGGCGACUCCCAUUCUAUUUUCCACCGAUAAAAGACAAGAUUUUCUUGUCUCCCCAUAUUUGCCACAUAGAUAUACAUUUAGAUUGAAGUGGAAUAUUCAUCACGACGCCGCACACGUGUGACAAUAUUAAGAAUAAUAUCUACAGUAAUAAAUUUUUUAUGUUAAUUAACAAUGAGACAAUAAUAAUAAUGAUAAUUGCUAUUGUAUUUUUUCCCCCUACAGGGUCUGCCGAUCCAGCCAUGCGAGCCUCUAAACCCAAGGGCGGUUAGAACAGACAUCGGCGGUCCGGUCUGCACCCAGUGCGCGGGUCAUGAGGCUAGGAGCGCGGGGUGCAGACCCAACCUCGCGUGUCUGCAGACCCCAGGAUUGCGGGGCUGCAGACCCGCUUGCCGUGGGGCUGCAACCAGGCGCGCGGGUCUGCCCCUAGCACCUAAGGCGUGGCAAACCCCGCGCCAGGUGUCUAUAUGCUAGGGCCUCGGCCAGCCCUAGCACCAGGUGACAGCAUCCUGGGGCGCGCGCAAGCGCGCAUGGCCAACCCAACGCCCAGGCUAGUCAGCCCAAGGGGGUGUGCGUCCACCUAGACGCUUGGGGCGUGCAAUAAGAUUUUUUUCAAAAAAUGUUUUUUAAAGAAUAAUAAUAAUGAUAAUUGUUAUUAUAUUUGUUUUUUCCAAUUUUCGUCUAUUCUUAAUAUUAAUACAUUUAAUUAAAAUAAUAAUAAUAAUAAUAACAGUAAGAAUACAAAUAAUAAUAUUAUCAUAUUAAUAAUAAUAUUAAACUUGUUUGACCAAAGUUGAUACAAUAUUAAUAAUAAUAUGAAGCUUGCUUGACCAAAGUUAAUACAAUAUUAAUAAUAAUAUUUAUCACAUAUUUUAUCAAAUUAUUUAUAAAUAAUAAUAUAUUUUUUAUGUUUGAAAAAUCCAUUUUUUAUAUACUCACAUCAAAAAAUUCAUUCGUGUAAAAAGGAAAUAAUAAUAUUAACUAUAUAUGCAUAUCCAUAAGAUCUCAAUGGAUUGCCCCUUACUACAGAAUGUAGCACAUCCUUAAGCUAGAAUAAAGUGCCUUCACUGAUUAAUCUAGCAUAUCUAAUUAUUUGAAAAAAAUUUCAAAUUUCAUUUCACCUUACAUAAGAAUUUAAUACUUAAUAUUAUUUGAGAAUACAUAAAGAUUGCAAGCAGCGGCUUUUAGUGAACUUUUGAUGACAUGAAACUGCCACAAAAUGGGUCCUAUCCGAGAGGGCGUUCUUUUCUGUUCUGUUAUCACAUAGAACUGAAAUCUGUUCACAGUACCCCUCCAAGAAAAUGGUCUCUCAAGGUAAGUCCUGAGGAAUUUGACACAAAUAAAACGAUAUAUCUUGUCCCAGUAUCAAAAAAAUGUUAAAAAAUGUGAGCAUAUGAACACAUGAAGUGGUCUCAGAAUCUAUGUUCCUAUUAUUUUUAACAAUACGGAAAGGCAUAACUAACUGUUUGUACUAUAAUAUUCUUUGGUAUAUUUAUUACCGAUGGACUCACUAGCAGACCAUAAAUUAUUGACGAGAGUUUUUUCGACGGACUGUCUCCAUCCGCGUGAGCCUGUCAACAAAAUACAUACCAAUGAACUGUGAGUGUGAAUAUCGACAAAAUUUUCUGUUAGUAAAACUGUUAAAUUUGGUAGUGAUCGCUUGAUCCGCCACUAGAAGUGAUGACAAGUUAUGACCAUUUUAAGUUGUUAUUCUGGUCUGACACAAUUAGACCUUCUCUUGGACCUAGACUUGUCCUACUAGUCUAUAAAUAUAUAUGUUAGAACAUCCAUAUCAUCUGUCUAGAGCAGAUACUAAUCUAAUUGUGACAGACCCACAUAUGGCAGCUCAGAAUCAUCUGUUAUCGCAAACCCAACUACAUCAUUAAUGGUCUCUCAAGGUAAGUCAUGAGGAAUUUGAAGCAUAUAAAACGAUAUAAGUUGUCCCAAUAUCAUAAAAAUGUUUUAAAAAAAUGUGAGUAUAUGAACCCAUGAAGUGGGAUCAGAAUCUAUGUUCCUAUUGUUAUUAACAAAACGGAAAGCCACAACUAACUGUUUGUACUAUAAUAUUGGGAGUGAGAGGUACAAUGUCCAGAAUGCUUCUAAGGAUAACCAUAUCCAUAAGAUCUCAAUGGAUUGCCCCUUACUGCAGAAUCUAGCGCAUCCUUAAGUAAAUAAAGAAAGCUAGAAUAAAGUGGCCUCAGUGAUUAUUUAGCAUUAUUAAGUAGGCCAAGUACUCUUCACUGCUUAUUUCCUAAUAAUUCCUUACUGUGGAAUUGCACUUACAAAUAAAGAACUUGUUCUUGAUAUUUUCGUACGGAAUUUCGUUUAUUCGGAUUAAUUUGAGGUUAACUAGAAUAAGAAAUAAAGAUAUAGGUUUUGGAAAGAAUAGAAAAAAAGAUUAUCAAAAGAAAUUAGAAAGGAAAAGUUAGUUAUAUGGAAUCAGAUUCACCAUUAAACUAAAGAGUCGGAAGGAAUCAUUUGUUCAAUAAUUGAAUGCGAUUUUUGUCUUAUAUAUAUUUUAGGAACUUUGCACUCGAUCGAAAGGGAACAUUUGUGCCACCAAGUACUAACAAUAACUGUCCAUAGUUUUGCAUGCAUAGACACUUUUUUUCCCGGUGUUAAUAGAUAUUUUCGGACCAACUUGAAAGCAAUUAUUAGAGAUAUCAAUUCAAUCUGAAUUCAAUAUGCAUACAUAUAUAUUACUUUUUUUUAUUUUAUAUUAAAUAUUAAAUAAUGUUUAGGAAAUAAAAAUCUAAAUGGAUCGAUGAAUAUAAUAUUAGUUUCUAAAUGAUGCAACAUAGCUAGAAGAAACUGAAGGUUAUGAGUGGACCUGAUAUAGCUAGAUGAGGGUCAAACCACCAACAAAUUACAUAGAUGACUUAACAUUUAUUUUUAUGGUUUAAUAAGAUAGGAAUAGGUUCAAGAAAAAAAUAUAGUCAUGCCAAACCAAUAAAGUAUCUAAAAGAAGCCAUAACUUGUCAUCCAAUCGUCAGAUAAAUCUCAAAUUUUUACUUAGAUUCCCAAAGCCCAUCUCUAUGGAGGAGCUCUUUGGCAAUCCAUCCUCUAAAUGGAUUUCCUCAAAUUAAGAUGAGAAGAUCCGGCUUAAGCCAAUUUUUUUGUUGUUUUUUUUUUUUUUCAAAAUUUUAUGUUUUAUCUCGGAUUUUCCAUUAUUUUUCAAAUUAAAGAAACCGAGAUAAAAUACCCUGAAUCUUCUUUCAUAAUUUGCUUUCGAGAAGGUGUAGUGUUUUUGCUACUUUUACUUUUGGACCUGACUUGAUUCCUGACCGGUAGAAACAGCAUUAGUCCAAAAGCAGGGAAGCUUUUGUUUUCUUUAAUCACAUGAUCAGAUAUUCUCAUUUAUGCCCAGCACAAAUUCAUAGAAGUGGCUCUAAUGAUUGGCUGACAACAGUUGUUAAUGAGCAGUGUUUGCGUCCCUUAUUUUUCAGUUUACUAAGUAUUUAGAACAUUCAAUUCCAAUCCAAAGUCGAUAAUAAUAAACUCUUGGUGAUGGUUUUGUUAUCGAAAGUGAUCGGACAUCGGACGACAAAAAAACCAGUAAAAUUUCUUGAACACAUCCAAAUCUAACAGUUUUUACUUUUUUUGUGUUUAAAUAUGAUAUUAAUAAACUAUUGAUGAUAAUCUUUUUUUCAUUUUAUGAUGUUUUUAUCGUAGUAGUGAUAAGAUGAAGAAAAGCUAUUGAUUUUUCUCUCAGCAAUGGUUUGUUUUAUCGUACACAAAUGUUGGGUGCUUUUAUUUACAAAAAGGAGUACUGUCUAACAAUAUUCAUUCCACAGCUGUUGUCAACCAAACCUUCCCGAUCUAUAUAAAGGUUGGUUUGGCCUCACACAUAUUAGCCAAGCAAGUAAACCAGCUCGACCUAUAUACAGCUACUUGUCUUGUGUAUUGACUGACAAAUUGUAGUUAACAUGGCACGUCAGGCAGACCGUCUUGCUAAGAUUGGGCUGGAGGGCUUUGCAGCCAGAGAUGAGCACUUCGGCCGGGCCAAGAGGCGGCCACCAGUGCUGAAGGUUCCCUAUGCUCAUCCGACAUAUUACUAUGCAAACCAAAUUCCUGCAACAGAAGUUAUCGACACCAACGAGGCAGCUCAACGCUACAAGGGGAGGGUUUAUCUCGAUUAUCCUAAGGGGAAACCAGUUCCGUUUUAAAGACCUAGUGAUUAAUCACUUAGCUUUCUUGUAUGCAUAACCUCCUCCAGUUGUGUUACCUUUAGUCCUGUACGAUAUUCUCCCUCUGCUAAACGUAUACGAGGAGAGGUUGCUAGAACUCGAGUCAGGAGCUUCUUGUUACUUCUUCAAAUAAACUUUCUGUGAUUUAUAUAUCAUUUUCUAUUUGUAUGUAUUGUCAUAAUUAUCACCUCUUACUUAGCAUGGAAUUGAAAGAUACAAUAUGCUCUUGAAAUGCUUUGAAGCUCUUCAAGGUGUGAUUUCACCGACUAAGUUGGAACUGUACAGAGCUCAAUGAUGAGCCGUAGGAGGCGUCUCUGAUUGUUGCACUGUAAGCAUGAGUGUACGUAUGAAUAUAACCAGCAGAUCCGCAAAGCACAAGUGAUGACAAGCUUCUUAACACGGCUACAUUUAACAGUUUUACCAACGAAAUUUUUUGUCGGUAUUUACUCUACCAUUCCGUCAGCAUGAAUUUUACCGACUGAUUUACGGACGGAAACAGUCGGUCGAUAAAUUCCUCUUGUCAGUAAUUUUAUUAAUGUCGGUAAAAAAAAACCGAUGGUUUUACAGACAGAAAAUGCAAGCCAAUUUUUUUUCCACUGGAAUAUAAAGACAGAAUUAUUUCUUCGGUGAUUGACAGUGGCAUAUGGAGUAAUUUUAUUCCAAACCCUCUAUAAAAUACCGAAGGAAUUAUUCCAUCGGUGAUGUAACAGUUGAAAUGGCAUAUGCAGUAAUUAUUUUUCAACUCUCUGGAAUAUAACGACCAACAAAGUUUGUCGGUAACUCUGUCCGUAAUAAUUAAAAAAUAUAUUUUAUACAAAAUUGUAUAAAAUUCAAGUAUGUGAAAAUAAAUUACCUAUGCUCAUCCGACAUAUUACUAUGCAAACCAAAUUCCUGCAACAGAAGUUAUCGACAGCAACGAGGCAGCUCAACGCUACAAGGGGAGGGUUUAUCUCGAUUAUCCUAAGGGGAAACCAGUUCCGUUUUAAAGACCUAGUGAUUAAUCACUUAGCUUUCUUGUAUGCAUAACCUCCUCUAGUUGUGUUACCUUUAGUCCUGUACGAUAUUCUCCCUCUGCUAAACGUAGACGAGGAGAGGUUGCUAGAACUCGAGUCCGGAGCUUCUUCUUGCUUCAUCAAAUAAAAUUUCUGUGAUUUAUAUAUUAUAAUUUUCUAUUUGGCUGGUCAAGUAUGCAUUGUCAUAAAUAUCACUCUGCUUCCCUGAUUAUUACCUUAUUCACCUAUUACUUAGCAUGAAAUAUUGAAAGAUUAAUGCAGUCGGAAGCACAACAAUAUAGCUGCAAGCAUAGAAAGACAAAAGAUAAACUGAAAUAAUGUUAAAACACUGAGAAUCCUAAAACCUUAUUUCUAAAUUAUUAAUUUGAUUAAGUUUACCUUCUAAAGAGGUUUACAAUCUCUUUCAUAGACUAGAAAAAUAGGCCAAGAUUCGAAACAAAAUCAGAAUCCCAAAACAUAACGGAAAAUAACAUAAAAUUUAAAAAUAAACAAUAAAUCUGCGAAAAUUAAGGAAAAAUAACAAAAUUAUCCCAAAUAAUAACUAAUUAGCCUACUUUAUGGAGAUACAAUGCUCUGAUAACUAUUGAGUUGUUUUUAAUGGGAAAACGGUUUGUAGAAUCUUCUAUAAAAAUUUAAACCUGAUUUAACGGUUAGAAUAUCUCCUGUUAUCAUUAUUUUAGGCUAUUAUUCUGGUCUUGCGUGAUGAUGCUUUCUCUUGGCCUAAACAUCUUUCACUAGUACAUGAACAUAUCUGUUAGUAGUCCGUUUAGGGCAAACAAAUAAUUAAUUUGCUGUUCAAAUGCUUUGAAGCUCUUCAAGGUGUGAUUUCACUGAAUAAUUUCGAGUUUAGAAUUAUCACCUCAUUUUAGAAUUGUCCCGAGCACAAGGAUAAAAUGAUGAGCCAUGGGAAGCGUCUCCGAUAAAGAAAUAAUAAACGGAGUUCAAGGUAAAACAAUAGCUUAGAAAAAAAAAAGUAGAAAUUUACACGAUAUCUAAGAAUAUCAGCGAUCAUGACCAUGAUUGGAUCAUUUCUGAGUUCUACAACCAAAAUUUCCUUCACAUCUCUUUAACUAAGCUGAUAGUCGAUGAAGAUUUAAGGAAAAACAUGAUUCCCAAUCCGAGCCAUAUGAGCAAGUGUAUCUAGUAAAAAUAUCUUAUCUCCCAUGAAAAUCAUAUUAGUAAGCCUCCCUCUGAAGCAUUGCUUUACACAUAUCUUUUACAGAAAAAAGAGAAAAAUGGGAAAUGCUCCGAGUUAUACCUUUUCUUGAUCUUUCCCAAUCCUUCAUUAUAAAUGGGACCCAUCAAAAACAUGAGAUGUGCUUUAACUUCCUCCAUAUUUCAUCUUAGCCUAGAAGGAUAAACAAGAAUAUUAUUGCUUCUGAAACAUAACGAUUGCAAGCAUCGCCUUUCGGUGAACUUUAGAUGACAUGAAACUGCCACAAAUUGGGUCCUAUCCGAGAGAGUUUUCUUUUUCUGCUCUGUUAUCACACAUAUACAACUGAAAUCUUUAAGUCCUCUUUAGGGUAUCCCUGAAAGAAAAUGAUCUAUCAUGCAUGGAAAGUCCUGAGGAAUCUGAGGCAUCACUACAUGAAAUUCAACCAACGGAAUUGCCGACAAACUGUUUCUUUCGGUAUUUUGCGGUGAUAUUUACCGACCGAAUUACUUCCCUUGCUAAAACCGUCGGUAUAUAUCGAGUGAAUCCCAGAUAGAAUAUAAAGAAUUUUAAAAAACAAAGCAGUGCAAUGACGUGGAAGUUUUGGUGGAUGAUGUUACUGAUGGAAUUACAGAGUGAUUCAAACUGGGAUGUUCGUACAGUGACGUGUUUACUUCACCGACAGAAUGGCCGAUGGAUUUACAAACAAAAAUAUUAUGUCGGUAAUUCCAUCGAUAAUAGUUAAUAUAUUGAAUGUUUUUUUAGUGUUUACUUGUUUUAUUACUUUUCUCAAACAAACAUGUAGUAUGGAUUUAUAAUUUUGUACUUGGUAUGGUUUGUUUUAGAUUUUGUAAAAUUAUAUUUGUUUGUAAAUUGUUGAAAUUUAUGUCGAAUUACCGACUUAGGUGUGUUGUGAUGAAAUAAAUAAUGACUUGUUUGAUGGGUCCGUUUUAAUUUUUGUCAAUUUUAUUGCCGAGUUGUAAUUUCUGUAAAUUAAUGUGUCUAAAUUUGUAUGGACGUAGAUAAUUGAUAAUGAAUAUUUAAGAGAAGUUUGAAAGUAAGUUGGAAAUCUUGAGCUAAACCAAUAUUUUUGCAAAUUUAUUUGCUUGACGUAGUUAAUUAAUACAUGUUGUCAUCAUUAUUUUAUAGAGGUUUGAUAGAAGUCAUGGAUGAUCAUUCAUGGAUGUAUCGAGAUUCACCUUAAGAAUUGCGGAGGAUGGAUUAUUAUAAUAGGGUUCAGAGUUUUAUUAAUUUCGCAACAUCUAUUUCGAGAAAUUUUAGUGGAGACGGUAUUAAGUGUCCAUACAGGAGGUGUAAAAAUAAAAAGUUUUUGCAUCCAGAUGUUGUAACGAUGUAUCUUCUACACAAAGGGUUCAUGGAGGAUUACUUGUGUUGGUAUGCACACAAAGAAUUAUUUGUUCGUAACAAGAGCAUGGUAGAAAGGAUGGUUGGGUCAACUUCUAGUGCUAGCAAUGUGCAUGGAGUUGUAAAUGACAAUAGUAAUCCUUACAGGAAUAUGGUUAUGGAUUCAAUGAGAAUGAAUCAAGAUAAUGCUAGUCAAUGUCCAAUUGUAGAAGAAGAUGCUAGUCAAUGUCCAAUUGUAGAAGAAGAACCUAAUGCAGACGCGGCCAGGUUUUUUGAUUUGUUGAAAGAUUCUGAUGAACCAUUAUGGGAUGGCUGCACAAAUCACUGUAAAUAAUCAGUUGUUGCAUAUGUGUUCACUAUCAAGUCAGAUUAUGGGUUGAGUGAGGCCGGUUAUGACAAAAUUAUCGAAUGGGCGAGAAGCAUUCUACUUGAAGGGAACAAGCUGAAAGAGAACUUCUAUGCUACUAAGUCCAUGAUGAAACCCCUCGGUUUAGGAUACUAGAAAAUUGACAUGUGUCCAAACUUUUGCAUGAUGUACUACCUUGAAAAUGCUGAGCUAACCGAGUGCAUGGCAUGAGAGCAUUCCCGUUACAAAUCCAGAACUGGCAUGGGAAAGACUCUUAUGGCAUAUAAAAAACUUAGAUACUUCCCAAUCACGCCUAGACUGUAGAGGUUAUUCAUGUCACCAAAGACUACUGAGCACAUGAUAUAGCACCAAUCACUUGAUGCAGUGGAUGGAGUGAUAGUGCAUCCUUCUGACGGUGAAGCAUGGAAACACUUUAACAGUGUGCAUUCUCAUUUUUCAGCUGAAUCAAGGAACGUGCAUCUUGGGUUAUGUACAGAUGAAUUCAACCCAUUCAGGUCAUUUGUUGAUCCUUAUUCUUGUUGGCCGAUUAUACUCACGGUUUACAACUUACCACUCUUAUGGCAACAGUUGCUCCUUCUUCACAAUACUUAUGGAACAAAGACUUGUUAAGUGCUUGACUAACGGACUGUUUUUCUCAAAGCUUUUAGUUUGGUUGACCUGAAACUUUGUUUUCGUAGCAAUCCCCAUCAACGGAAACUACGAUCAAACUGUGUACAAUUUGGUUAUCUUGAAAUCGCAAUCUAGUGAUUUGCUUAAUCCAAAACCAAAAUCAAUGCCAAAGUUCGGUCAACCUGAGAUCCCAAUUUGGCGAUCCGCUUUAACUAGAACUAAAAUAUGAAAAGUAGCUCGGUAACCUGAAAUCCCAAUCUGGCGAUUCACUUUAACCAGAACCUUGGUCUUUGUCGUUAAGUUGGUCAACCUAAAAUCCCAAUACGACGAUUCUCUUUAAUAAGAACCAAAAUGUCGCCUUUAGCUUAGUUAAUCUGAAAUCUCAAUCUAGAGACCCCCUUUAACCAAAACCUUGGUCUUUAUCCUUAGCUCGGUCAACCUGAGAUCCCAAUCUAGUGAUUUCCUUUAACCAAAACCAAAAUGUCACCUUAAGCUUGGUUAACCUGAAAUCUCAAUCUACAGAUCCCCUUUAAUCAGAACCUUGAUCUUUGUCUUUAGCUCAGUCAACUUGAGAUCCUAAUCUAGCUAUUCCCUUUAAUUAGAACAAAAAUGUCACCUUCAGCAUGGUUAACCUGAAAUCUCAAUCUAGAGACCCCCUUUAACCAGAACCUUGGUCUUUGUCUUCAGUUCGGCAAACCUAAAAUCCCAAUCUGAUGAUUCGUUUUAACCAGAACCAAAAUGUUGCCUUAAGCUUGGUUAACCUAAAAUCUCAAUAUAGAGACCCCCUUUAACUAAAACCUUGGUCUUUGUCUUUAGCUCAUUCAACCUGAGAUCCCAAUCCGACAAUCCUAUUUAACUAGAACCAAAAUGUUUCUUUCAGUUUGGUUAACCUGAAAUCUCAAUCGAGUGACUCCCUUUAAUCAAGCGAUUCCCUUUAACUAAAACCAAAAUGUUGCCUUCAACUCGGUUAACCUAAAAUCUCAAUUUAGAGACCCCUCUUUAACUAGAACCUUAGUCUUUUUUUUUUAGCUCGGUCAACUUGAGAUCCCAAUCUUAUGAUCCCAUUUAACAAGAACCAAAAUAUUGCCUUCAACUCGGUUAACCUAAAAUCUCAAUUUAGGGAACUCUCUUUAACUAGAACCUUAGUCUUUUUCUUUAGCUCGGUCAACUUGAGAUUCCAAUCCUACGAAUCUUGAAACAUCAUCCCCUUCUUAGUCCUACUUUGAUUUGCCAAAAAAAUGGAAAAGAAUGAAUGAUAUGGUGGAGAACUAGACCGGUCUUUACCAUUGGCUAGAACCAACCAUAGGCUGCUUAGAAAGCAACCUUCAACACCUAAAAACAAACCACCACAUAACAACCCUGCAAUUAUCAACAACAACAUCUAGUUCUAGCUACCUAGUCUAUGUCAAAGAAUAGAAUCUGAGGCAACUUUUUGACCAAAAUUCCAUUCUCUAUUAUUCCUUCAAUAUUGGGGUUUAAUGCAAGCAACUUGUUUAUUCGGAUUUGAGAUGUAAAUAGAUUUUAAUUUUGUUAGGAUGAGGUGGUCAGGUUGCGUCACAUUGAUUAUGUCAUGAAGUUAACUAGAGUAAGAAAUAAAGAUAUCAAGUUUCGGAGAGAAUCAAGAUCAGUUAAAGCAAAAAAAAAAAAAAACAGAUUAUGAAAAUAAAUUGGAAACGAAAAGUUUAGUUAUAAGGAAUUAGAUUCACAAACAAAUUUAAGUCUCAUCAAUUCUAGGAAACAAGUUGGAAGGAAUCAAUUUUACAAAAAUUGACCUUCGCACUAGAGAGAACCUUCGAGCCACUUCAAAUGUACUGAAGGCCAUUUGUUUGCCAUAUGUGCUAAUUAAGAACAUAAUUCUAUUCUUUUGUGAGUUAAUAUUCUGUAAAAUAAGCUUGGAAUAGCUUGCGGGGGCUUGGCUCAGAGAUCAUUGAGUUUUUACUACAAAUUGCCUUUUAAUUUUUUUCCACCUGUAAUUGGAUUCGAUAAGUUUCCCUUUUGUUUACAUAUGAAGAACAAACAUUGCUUGAGGUUAUCCAAUGCCGAGAUCAAGGUCAGAUAAUACUAGCGAACCCCUAAUCAGGAUUAAGAAGCAAAAAAAAUGUUAAGUGCAGCUUAUCCAAUGCCGAGACCAAGGUCAGAUAAUAUCCUGAUUGUGCUUAUUGCCAUUAAUUAGAAACUGCAAUAUCGUCACAUAAUUAAACUGAGAUUAUUCUGAUUAGAGAACAGAAGGAAUCUUCUUUCAUAAUUGGCUUUUGCGAAGGUUUAGUGUUUUUGCUGCUACUGCUUUUGGACCUGACUUGAUUCCUGAUCGGUCGAAAAAGCAUUAGUCCAAAAGCAGGGAAGCUUUUGUUUUCUUUAAUCACAUGAUCAGAUAUUAUAAUUUAUGCCCAACACAAAUUCAUAAAAGUGGCUCUAAGAUUGGCUGACAACAGUUGUUAAUGAGCAGUGUUUGCAUCCCUUAUUUUUCAGUUUACUAAGUAUUUAGAACAUUCAAUUCCAAUCCAAAGUCGAUAAUAAUAAACUCUUGGUAAUGGUUUUGUCAUCGAUGGUGAUCGGACGACAAAAAAACCAGUAAAAUUGUUUUAUAUAAAAAGUUUAUUAAGUAUUGAAAACAUCCAAAUCUAACAUGUUUUACUUUUUUGUGUUUAAAUAUGAUAUUAAUAAACUUUUGGUGAUAUUUUUUUUUUCAUUUUGUGAUGCUUUUAUCGUCAGUAGUGAUAAGAUGAAGAAAAGCUAUUGAUUUUUCUCUCAGCAAUGGUUUGUUUUAUCGUACACAAAUGUUGGGUGCUUUUAUUUACAAAAAGGAGUACUGUCUACCAUUAUUCAUUCCACAGCUGUUGUCAACCAAACCUUUCCUUUCUAUAUAAAGGUGGCUUGGCCUCCUACAUAUUAGCCAAAGCAAGAAAACCAACAAAACCUAUAAACAGCUACUUGUCUUUGUGUGUUGAUUAAUUGUAGUUAACAUGGCACGUCAGGCAGAUCGUCUUGUUAAGAUUGGGCAGGAGGGUUUUGCAACCAUUGAUGAGCACUUCGGCCGGGCCAAGAGGCGGCCACCAGUUAUGAAGGUUCCCUAUGCUCAUCCCACAUAUUACUAUGCAACAGAAGUUAUCGACAGCAACGAGGCAGCUCAACGCUACAAGGGGAGGGUUUAUGUCGAUUACCCUAAGGGUAAACCAGUUCCGUUUUAAAGACCUAUUGAUUAAUCACUUAGCUUUCUUGUAUGCAUAACCUCCUCCAGUUGUGUUACCUUUAGUCCUGUACGAUAUUCUCCCUCUGCUAAACGUAGACGAGGAGAGGUUGCUAGAACUCGAGUCAGGAGCUUCUUCUUACUUCUUCAAAUAAACUUUCUGUGAUUUAUAUAUCAUUUUCUAUUUGUAUGUAUUGUCAUAAUUAUCUUUCUUACUUCCUCAUUAUCACCUCUUACUUAGCAUGGAAUUGAAAGAUACAAUAUGCUCUUGAAAUGCUUUGAAGCUCUUCAAGGUGUGAUUUCACCGACUAAGUUUGGAACUGUACAGAGCUCAAUGAUGAGCCGUGGGAGGCGUCUCUGAUUGUUGCACUGUAAGCAUGAGUGUACGUAUGAAUAUAACCAGCAGAUCCGCAAACCACAAGUGAUGACAAGCUUCUUAACACUGCUGCAUUUAACAGUUUUACCAACAAAAUGUUUUGUCGGUAUUUACUCUACCAUUCCGUCAGCAUGAAUUUUACCGACUGAUUUACGGACGGAAACAGUCCAUUGGUAAAUUCCUCUUGUCAGUAAUUUCAUUAAUGUCGGUACAAAAAAACCCGAUGGUUUUACAGAUAGAAAAUGCAAGCCAAUUGUUUUUCCACUGGAAUAUACAGACGGAAUUAUUUCUUCGGUGAUUGACAGUGGCAUAUGGAGUAAUUUUAUUCCAAACCCUCUAUAAAAUACCGAAGGAAUUAUUCCAUCGGUGAUGUAACAGUUGAAAUGGCAUAUGCAGUAAUUAUUUUUCAACUCUCUGGAAUAUAACGAC
rnacentral:lncRNA from 1 species